rnacentral:lncRNA from 1 species
UAAUUUAUUUUGCUACACCUUUCUAUAAAGAUGAAUAUUUGUAUUAAUUUUUCUUAAUAUGACCCCACUUGUCAUUUUUUUCCCAAGAAUUUGCGAGCCUCUCUAGAAAUUCACAAACUGUAGGUGACGAUGAAUUCUUGUCCUGGCUUGUUGAUUAAUUGUUGUGGCCUGUAAAGUCUCGAAUCUGAAUGAAAAUAAGAGAUAGAGGGAUUCAGUUUUCAAUGCUUAUCAACAUGCUUCUGGAAGUGAGAGAAAUAGUGAUGUGUACGGAGAAAGAUUGUACAGUGCAUUGUGUAAAUAUUUUCCUGGAAUCAUGUUUUGGAAAUUCUUAUGAAUUGACUGCUGGCUAUCUUACCGUUGUGAUUGUAUAGGUAGAAAUAGACAUCUAGUAUGAUCUUGGUCAUCUUGCCAUGUAAAACAUUAGCCGAUUUUCUUUUUUGGUGUAGAGUAGAGGAGAAACACAGGUCAUUUUCAGCUGUUACGGAACAACUUUAUUGCUGAUCUCAGACGGAAGAACAUAUACAUGUAUAUCCAGACGGAACAGCAGAUUCAGAUUUCUAAGAGGACGGCGACAUCUCUAUCCAGGUGCUACGUACAUCUCUCUUUUUCUGCAGUUGCAGGUAAGGCAGCUGCCACCCUGUUUGACAUAAUAUGCCACGGGUUUGGUGAACCUAGACAUUGCUGAUUAUGUUUGGCGUACUGUUGAUCGAAUUCUCCUUUUUGUCAUAGUCAGCACCUGCACCCUUAACUAAUUUCUUAUUGCUACCAUAUAUAUUAUUUCUUUGUGGAGAUUCGCGUACAGUUUCUGUUUCAGUCUACCUCUUCUAAGCUUCCUGUUUCUUUGCAAUAUCAGCCUGCAUGAAACAGAUAAAAUUAUGAUUCUGUUUGAUGAUCUAAUUAAUUACAAAGUAAAUUGGACAGAUUAAGUAAAUGCACUAUUAUUGCAGCUAGGAUGAUUAGCUGUCCAAGUUAGCUGGUCUUUGAAACUGGCAUGAUGACGAAAAAAGAGGAUUCUUCAAUGUAGAUCGAAAAGGCUAGUUCCGAUUUGCUUUGAAAAGAAUUUAGCAUGGAAUGGAAUUAAGGAUUCGCUUUGUACCAUGCAAGUGUCAAUAAUGACAAUAAUGCAAAACGGAAAAUUGGACAUGCUUUGUUAUGUCGUUCAUUCAUAUAAAGCUAUAUUGUCAUUCUCUCUGGAAAAAAGCACACAGCUCUAUAUGCUCUACACGUGCAUGUUUGCUGAGAUUUUCUCCUUUCAUUUUCUUUCUUGAAAUGAUGUCGUCUGGUAGUCAAUAAGUUUUGUUUACUUAGAGAUCGAAAUGCAUAAAAUAUAUGAGAAAAUUUAAAGGAGUUUAAUCAAGGAGCACCAGGACACCUAUUGGACUACCUGUACUAUUUGCACUGCCAAGUAGUUGUAUAUCUGCCGGAGAUGUCACUUUAUAAAAUCUUGUUGGGGAAAAAUGAAAAAAAAGAGUCAAAAAGAAGAAUUUAAUUGUGUACAAGUACCCAAAAGGUAAAAGUACUAUGGGCUUAUUGAAAAUCAUUCAACAAAAAGUUUGAUUAAGGUGUCCAAUGCAUGUCAGGGUUACUACUAGAUGUACACAGCAUUGCCCUUUCAUUAUGCUUAUAAUACAGUACAUCUGGAGUGUGUACGUGCACUUGGUUUGAUUUGUGCCCACAGGACUUGGGGAAAAUUGUUACUCUGGUGCCAGAUGCAAAUACACAAAAUUCUUCAAACCACGGCACUUUGUCAGGGUUGUUUGUGAAUGUUACAUUCAAACUUCAUUUAAAAAAUACGGCAAUGCUAAAAUUCCGAUGUAUGAUUUUUAAGCAUAGCAAAUCAAACAUUUUUUGACAAAAUAUGUUGUUGCGAGGAUAGCAAUUUUCUUUAGCGAGCAAGGCAAUUCCUUACAAAAAACUGAACAUGGCAAGGAUUUGUCAUGCUUGCUAAAAGAAUUUGCCAUCCUCGCGACAACAUAAUUUGCCAUCUCGGACGUUUGAUUUGGCAUGCUUAAAAAUCCGGCAUUCAAUUUGUAGCGAAAUCCAAAAAAUAAGAAAAGUUGGUGAUUAUUGCCAACUACUUCCUUCGUCCCAUAAUAUAAGAGCGUUUUUUACACUACACUAGUGUCAAAAACUCUCUUAUAUUAUGGGACGGAGGGAGUAGCAGUAUGUAUGUCCAAGCUGCAGCAGGGAAAGAUGAGAUGUGGAUGUUUACGUGCAUGGCAUCGCCUGUAGUUCUCUAGUUGGUCAAUUGGAGAACCCACCUAUCUAGCUUUAUAUAGAGCUCCUUGUUCUCUGAUCCAUGUUAUAUUAUUGCCUAAGGCUAGCCAUAGUGGGGUAACUUACGUAGUAACUUAACACACUCCAAGAUAAUUUUGCUUAUGUGACAAGUAUUUAAUGAGGAGAGAGGUGUUUGGAGUAACAUAAUAUGUUACUGUAACAUAGCGCUUCCCGAGAUAAAAUGAGUCUAUAAGGCAAUAAAGAGUAUUUAACCAAAAACUACCACAAUUCACGGAACCGUGACGAAAAACUACCACUUUACGAUUUUGUCCCGAAAACUACCACUUUCUCGCUAAUCUGUGACUAAAAACUACCAAGUCGCGAAAGUGCUCGAUUCGCCUCUUCUAAACGCAUUUCUGACAGGAUGGGCCCACCUGUCAGCAUCAAUCUUCUUCUUCCUCCUCCUCCUCCUCUCUCUGGCAUUUCCUCAAACACCUCGCGUGCACUCCGGUGACCCUCUCGCCCGCACUUCGCCGCGUCCACGACCACCUCCUGCAGCUCCCCGUCACCAUUGUCAGCGCCCGCUGCUUCCCCUCUACUCCGUGGCCGCGCGCCGGAGCUCGUGCUCCGAGCCGCACCCGCACGCGCGCGCCCGCGGCGCUCGUGGCCGCCCCUNNNNNNNNNNNNNNNNNNNNNNNNNNNNNNNNNNNNNNNNNNNNNNNNNNNNNNNNNNNNNNNNNNNNNNNNNNNNNNNNNNNNNNNNNNNNNNNNNNNNNNNNNNNNNNNNNNNNNNNNNNNNNNNNNNNNNNNNNNNNNNNNNNNNNNNNNNNNNNNNNNNNNNNNNNNNNNNNNNNNNNNNNNNNNNNNNNNNNNNNNNNNNNNNNNNNNNNNNNNNNNNNNNNNNNNNNNNNNNNNNNNNNNNNNNNNNNNNNNNNNNNNNNNNNNNNNNNNNNNNNNNNNNNNNNNNNNNNNNNNNNNNNNNNNNNNNNNNNNNNNNNNNGGGCGGGGGCAGCAGCGCGGCGCUGGCGGCCACGCGGCAGUGGCCGGCCCCAGAAGCUUGGUGGGCACGACGACGGCGAGGUGGGAGCGGGCGCGCGCGUGCGGGUGCGUCUCCGGCGCGAAGGAUGGCCAGGUGGCACCUGGUUCGUGGGCCCAAGCGGUCAGAUUUGUGCUUAGCACGGGCCAAGCGAGCGAUUUCGCGACUUGGUAGUUUUUUGCCACGGAUUAGGAAAAAAAUGGUAGUUUUCGGGACAAAAUCGUAAAGUGGUAGUUUUUCGUCACGGUUCCGUGAAUUGUGGUAGUUUUUGGUUAAAUACUCGGCAAUAAAUGAAACAAUCUAUGACACUACUACUAAGAUACUUUACACUAUAGAGAUAGUAACUUAGACUAGUGUCAUAUGCAUGACACUAGUAUAAGUUACUCCCCACUAUGACCAGACUAAACAAAGUUGAUAUGAAAGGCUAUAUUCUUACAAGUGCUUUGGCUAUUUCCUACUAGUAUAGCUUCCUAGUAGUGACCAAACUGCAUGCAGUACAUGUACUGCUGGUCCAAUAUAUAUGAUGAUGCCAACUACAUCCAUGGGUCAUGGUGUAGGCGUACGUUCAACCUCAAAAGGCAUGUAGCUUCCCUUUUUGUUUGUUUGAUUGAAAGGUCUCUCCUCUCCAACCUUAGUUAGUUGUACGUCCUAUUCCAGUUCUGAAAUGUAUGUCUUCAUUGGAUGAGAGGUCAAGCUUUUGGAAGUUUGACUACCAGGAUCUGCCGAAUCGCAUCGAUAAAUCCUCUCUUUGAAAAUAAUACCGCAUUAGACUCGUCUCGCAAAAUCCUUCUGGGCUAAGCAAAUUUUGUUGCUUAUCAAAACGUACCGCAGGGGUCGGAGAUUAUAGCCAAGCCUUGCAUUUUAAGGACAUACAUGCAAAACUCAGAAAGCGAUCGACAUACAUUUCUAAAUACAGGGAAACAAGAGUACAUGUGCUUCAUCAAUUCUUCUCAGAACAUGGUGUACAGCUGACAUUGUUACUCAGCUGAACAUGGUGUACACGUAUAGAUCAGUAUCAGGUUUGAUGGACACAUGUACGCCAAAGAUAGCAGCGAGUGCAUGCAUGGAAACCCAUGGGCAUGCACUCGCACGUACACAUAUGUGCAGUGACUUUGUUGGACAUGCUAGAAGUUUGUUAGUCUUGGCUCUUGGGGGUACUUGUCUCCUCCUCUCGUUUUCGCACCUACUGGCUAGCUGGAGACCGCAGAAAGCUACAGGCCAAAAUGCAAGUUAGGAGCCCAAGACUUUGGACAGUACUUAACUUUAAUCACUAGCCUCUUAGCCGUGCCUCCUUUUUUCUCAAGGAAUCAUUGUCCCCUCUCCUCUCCUUGGCUAGCAGCUAGCAUCAGUGAUCGACCAGCACGGCAGCACGUACUGGUUAGUUUUCCUUUUUCCCUUUUCCGAUCGACAGGAGCCGGCAGUACUGGCCGGUACUGUAAAGUUUUUGGGCGGUUAUAAGUGCAUCUUUCACACUCUCCAGAUCGAUCUAUCUGCUAUGUAUCUAUCUGCCCUUGCAGAUGUAAACAUGCUUCCUUCCAAGGGCCAGCCACCCGCAUAAAUAUGAGUGAGAUCAUCAUCGACUGCUUGCUAUAUCGUCUCGCACACGCCAGCUUGAAUUCCCAUAUGCAUCUCGACGAACCUUUCUAGAUAGAUAGGCAGAUAGAACUGAGCCGUGACCUCACCCUUAAUUUGGCUCCUCUCUCUUUCUCCACACCACUGAUCACUAUUGACGAGAUGGAGGCAGCGGCACCAAGGUCCUCGUCAACUAGCUACUAGAUCGUCCGGUCGUCCGUUGAUCGAUCUCCCAUGGAGGCGAGCAAGGGAGGCGACGGGAGCUCGGGCGCCUCGGCGAGCAACGAUGACAGCACGGUGGAGGAGGAGGGAGCGGGCCGUGAAGAGCAGGAGGACGCCUGCAGGGGGAACUCUUUGUCGUCGUCGUCGGUGCGCCCCUACGUCCGCUCCAAGAACCCGCGCCUCCGCUGGACGCCGGAGCUCCACCACUGCUUCGUCCGCGCCAUUCACAGGCUCGGCGGCCAAGACCGUAAGGCCUCCUCGCUCAGUUUCCAUCAUCUUAUUCCUAGCUAGCCAUACCCCUCGUCCAUGUUAACUCCAUGUUUUGUGUGUGUAUAUAUAUAUAGGUGCAACUCCGAAGCUCGUUCUUCAGUUGAUGAACGUCAGAGGGCUUAGCAUAGGCCAUGUCAAGAGCCACCUCCAGGUUCACGUUAAUCAAUUUCAUUAAAACAUCCAUGUGCAACUUAGGUUUUCUUUCUUUUCUGAUGAUGAUCUUUCCCUGCCCCCCUUGUUUAUCAGUUAAUUAACAUUUGUGUCCUCUUGCAUGAUGUUGUAAAUUCAAUCAUCUUCAGAUGUAUAGGAGCAAGAAGAUCGAUGACUCAGGCCAGGGUAUGUUGUGUGAGUAAAAAUGAGUGAUUUUCCUUUCCUUGCUUUGGUGUGUUCUGAUCGAUCUGAUAGAAUUGAUUUUUCCAGUCAUAGGUCAUCUCCCCUUGCCCCAUGCCUUCCAUCAUCGCCAGAGUGGUGCGGGCACCAUGUUGUCAAGGUAGUUGGAUCCAUUAAUUUGGUCUACACACCUUCAAUCUGUUGCGUGGCUAGCAAAUCAUUCAAGUAAGCAGUCCUUAGCUAGCAUGUCGAUCCGGCUGAUGUCCCUGGUAAUUAUGAACUAGGUUUGGUGCUGCUGCAUGGCCUCCAUGGAGAAGCUUCCAUGAACCAUAUUGGGCCCAUGGUCGCCCCUUUCUUGCAACUGGAUCGAGGACCUACAACUCUUUAGAAGCUGAAGCCGAGGCGGCUUUCCUUCGGUCCCGAGCUCAACAUGUAGCUCGAGCUGCAUCUAGCAAUCCGGGACUGAUGAUGCAGUCAGGCUGUCCAUCUUGGAACGAUCAUCAUACCAUGAACCACCAGCAUAAACGAUUGCUGCAACCGACAGUGUGCAACGCUGAUGAUAUCCAUAUUUCUCUUGAUCUUGAUCUCGAUCUCUCGCUCGGUCUCCCCGUGCCGAGGAGGGAGGCGAAGCGGAAGAGAUCGGGCUGCGGCUGGGUGAAAGAAGGCCCUGAUGAGAAUGGAGCCGAUGAAGAACAAGUGGAUGAGACCAGCAGUGCCACUAUGCUAUCUCUGUCCUUGUUCUCUUCUGGGGAUGCUCCUCGGAAGAUGAGUAGCACUAGUGCUAGUGAUCGUGCAGUAGAUGAGCAUGCUACAAGGAGGGCAAGUACUCUUGAUCUCACCAUAUGAUCUACACAAUGUGGUGAUAUCUCGUGGUACUUAUCCAUGCAUACAUAUGUUAUAUAUUAUGUAGAGCGAACAUAUAUACCUAUGUUUUACCAUACAUAUUAUGUUAUCUUCUAAUUAAUGUUUGUUGGUUUAUAGGUCCAUCUAAAUUAAUGAAGAUAUGUCCUCAGGAAAAAAGUCGUAUGUUAGAAUAUAGGUAACAUGUAUUCACAUAACGUCGUAGGCUAGUAUGUAUACACAUACAGGUGCAACAAUGAGUUUAGAGAGAUAACACCCCCCACCCCCACCACACAGAAAGGAAGCAUCAUUACCAAUAUGCAAUUAUGCACGGUGAUCUCAUGCUUCACCAUGCAUAGUAUAUAUAACAAGACAAAAGUGAUUGUACUGAUAUAAAUACAAAAAAAUUCAAACAGCCACCAUAGCCAAGUCACCUAUGUUGUUAAGAGAGCCAUAACUCACAACUCAUCCUCCCACUCGAACAUGAAACUGUAAUUUAUUUUGUCGUCUUCCAGACAAUUAGAUAACCACCAAUUAAAAUACAGUAAGCAGAAAAUGACCGAUGACUCGAAGGAUCGUUAGCCCAAGUAGCAUAUGAAUAAGCCUAAAGUUGUAAUGAACUGGAGUAUGGGUAGGAAAGANNNNNNNNNNNNNNNNNNNNNNNNNNNNNNNNNNNNNNNNNNNNNNNNNNNNNNNNNNNNNNNNNNNNNNNNNNNNNNNNNNNNNNNNNNNNNNNNNNNNNNNNNNNNNNNNNNNNNNNNNNNNNNNNNNNNNNNNNNNNNNNNNNNNNNNNNNNNNNNNNNNNNNNNNNNNNNNNNNNNNNNNNNNNNNNNNNNNNNNNNNNNNNNNNNNNNNNNNNNNNNNNNNNNNNNNNNNNNNNNNNNNNNNNNNNNNNNNNNNNNNNNNNNNNNNNNNNNNNNNNNNNNNNNNNNNNNNNNNNNNNNNNNNNNNNNNNNNNNNNNNNNNNNNNNNNNNNNNNNNNNNNNNNNNNNNNNNNNNNNNNNNNNNNNNNNNNNNNNNNNNNNNNNNNNNNNNNNNNNNNNNNNNNNNNNNNNNNNNNNNNNNNNNNNNNNNNNNNNNNNNNNNNNNNNNNNNNNNNNNNNNNNNNNNNNNNNNNNNNNNNNNNNNNNNNNNNNNNNNNNNNNNNNNNNNNNNNNNNNNNNNNNNNNNNNNNNNNNNNNNNNNNNNNNNNNNNNNNNGGUGAUCUCAUGCUUCACCAUGUAUAGUAUAACAAGACAAAAGUGAUUGUACUGAUAUAAAUACAAAAAAAUUCAAGCAGCCACCAUAGCCAAGUCACCUAUGUUGUCAAGAGAGCCAUAACUCACAACUCAUCCUCCCACUCGAACGUGAAACUGUAAUUUAUUUGCCAUCUUCCAGACAAUUAGACAAUCACCAAGUAAAACACAUUAAGCCGAAAAUGACCAAUGAUUUGAACUUUUGAAGAAUCGGUAGCCCAAGUAGCAUCUGAAUAAGCCUAAAGUUGUAAUGAACUGGAGCAUGGGUAGAAAAGAUGAUGAGAGAGAGAGUACCUAAUUGGGGGCAAAGGUGUAAUGUGGACAAGGUAAAGUAUAUCUAGACUAGUGAUAGCAACAUAGACAAGACUCCCAACAAGAUGACGAUAGCUCGUCGGAGCUGACAAAUUUCAUAAGCCCGGAGGUGGACAAUGAGCUCCAUUGGAGUUUCAACAAUGCACUCAUGAAUAAGAUCGGCACAAGCAAGAAGAUUCUAAAUGUAUUUUCUCUUGAGAAAUAAAGAAGCCAUCAGACAUAAGAAAAACUUCAAUCCCAAGUAGAGAAGAAAACAAAGAUUGAACAGAAUAAAUUGUUCAUUAAGAUGAUACGUCAGAAAGGCAAUGUGCUCGGAGUCAUCUCUAGUGAUGAUCAAGCCAACGAAAUUGAGAAGAAGAAGAGUCUAACCACAUGAUGAUCGAUGUACAAAGAGUGCAGAGUCAUGAUCACUCGCUGAAAAACCAACAAUAGUGACCACUACAGAGGAGCUCUCAAACCAGACACGAGGGGCUUGUUUAAGUCCAUAUAGAGAGCAGCAAAGAUGAAAUAUCAUGACACGAGGAACAUAAUACCAAGAUGGAGGUAUGCAUGUAGACCUCCUUGCACAAUUCGCCUUUAAGAACUACGUUCUUGAUAUCAAGCUGAGAGGAAAACUAGUAGCAAAUGUAAACUAUAACAAGAAGGGUGUGAAAAGUGGUCAUGUGGGCCAUAUGAUGAGAUUUCUCGUCGCAGUCAUAACCAUGUCCCAUAAGAUGAGCAUUGCAAUGCUCAAUAAAACCAUCAGAGCAAGUCUUAACCAUGUAGAUCCACUUACAAAUGAUAGGACAAAUAGAAACAAAACAAGUACAACCCUUCAAAGCACAUUCCUUAUGCAGUCUUUGGGUGCCCCUGACCUCAUUUUGUUUUCCUCACUGUCUCUCGAUUUUUGCAUGACCAAUGCGGUCUUCUUGAGGUGAAACAUUGAGAUCAACAAUGGGGUCACCUGCGGGUGUCAUUCUCCUUCCUAGAGGCUUUGUGCAAGAAUGCAUGAUGUGGGCUUCUAGGUGCAAUGUGGUACCAGUCAAAAUCUCUGCAUUGACUUGCGUCAAUGCCGUUGCCGCCUCCUAGGGGCAUUGUUUUUUUCUUUCUUGGAAGCAUCACCACGACAACCCAUCCUCCCUCCAACAUUGUUGUGUUCGACAAUGGUGCAUGCGCUUGGCGAGUUCCGGUCUUUGUGUUGUUCUAUAAAACUCCGUUUCCAAGCUAAGUACUAUGCUCCACCCACCCUAUUGGUUGACCCACUUUCAUGUUGGGGGUGAGGUAUUGGUUGAACGGGACGGGGGGGGGGGUCCUUGGUGUUGGGGAAUGUAGCAGAAAUUCAAAAUUUUCCUACGUGUCACCAAGAUCUAUCUAUGGAGAAACCAGCAACGAGGGGAAGGAGAGUGCAUCUACAUACCCUUGUAGAUCGCUACGCGGAAGCGUUCAAGUGAACGGGGUUGAUGGAGUCGUACUCAUCGUGAUUCAAAUCACCGAUGAUCCUAGUGCCGAACGGAUGGCACCUCCGUGUUCAACACACGUACAGCCCGGUGACGUCUCCUACGCCUUGAUCCAGCAAGGGGAGAAGGAGAGGUUGGGAAGACUCCAUCCAGCAGCAGCACGACGGCGUGGUGGUGGUGGAGGAGCGUGGUACUCCAGCAGGGCUUCGCCAAGCACCGCGAGAUAUGAGGAGAAAGAGAGGUAGGGCUGCGCCAGGGAGAGGUUAAGAACUCAUGUGUGUUGGGCAGCCCAAACCUCAAGUAUAUAUAGGGGGAGGGGAGGGGCUGCGCCUCCACCUAGGGCUCCCUCCCUAGGGGUGGCGGCAGCCCCCAGAUCCCAUCUGGGUGGCGGCCACAAGGGGGAGAGGGGGAGGCGCACCUGGGGUGGGCCUUAGGGCCCAUCUGCCCUAGGGUUUGCCCCCUUCCCUCUUGGAGGCGCCUUGGGCCCUUGUUGGGGGGGGGGGGGGGGGCGCACCAGCCCACCUGGGGCUGGUCCCCUCCCACACUUGGCCCAUGUAGCCCUCCGGGGCUUGUGGCCCCACUUGGUGGACCCCCGGGACCCUCCCGGUGGUCCCGGUACGUUACCGAUAAACCCCGAAACUUUUCCGGUGACCAAAACAGGACUUCCCAUAUAUAAAUCUUUACCUCCGGACCAUUCCGGAACUCCUCGUGACGUCCGGGAUCUCAUCCGGGACUCCGAACAACAUUCGGUAACCACGUAUAUCUAUUCCCUAUAACCCUAGCGUCAUCGAACCUUAAGUGUGUAGACCCUACGGGUUCGGGAACCAUGCAGACAUGACCGACAUAACUCUCCGGUCAAUAACCAACAGCGGGAUCUGGAUACCCAUGUUGGCUCCCACAUGUUCCACGAUGAUCUCAUCAGAUGAACCACGAUGUUAAGGACUUAAUCAAUCCUGUAUACAAUUCCCUUUGUCCAGCGGUACGAUACUUGCCCGAGAUUCGAUCGUCGGUAUCCCGAUACCUUGUUCAAUCUCGUUACCGGCAAGUCUCUUUACUCGUUCCGUAACACAUCAUCCCGUGAUCAACUCCUUGAUCACAUUGUGCACAUUAUGAUGAUGUCCUACCGAGUGGGCCCAGAGAUACCUCUCCGUUUACACGGAGUGACAAAUCCCAGUCUCGAUUCGUGCCAACCCAACAGACACUUUUGGAGAUACCUGUAAUGUACCUUUAUGGCCACCCAGUUACGUUGUGACGUUUGGCACACCCAAAGCACUCCUACAGUAUCCGGGAGUUGCACAAUCUCAUGGUCUAAGGAAAUGAUACUUGACAUUAGAAAAGCUUUAGCAUACGAACUACAUGAUCUUGUGCUAGGCUUAGGAUUGGGUCUUGUCCAUCACAUCAUUCUCCCAAUGAUGUGAUCCCGUUAUCAACGACAUCCAAUGUCCAUGGUCAGGAAACUAUAACCAUCUAUUGAUCAACGAGCCAGUCAACUAGAGGCUUACUAGGGACAUGGUGUUGUCUAUGUAUCCACACAUGUAUCUGAGUUUCCUAUCAAUACAAUUCUAGCAUGGAUAAUAAACGAUUAUCAUGAACAAGGAAAUAUAAUAAUAACCAAUUUAUUAUUGCCUCUAGGGCAUAUUUCCAACAGUCUCCCACUUGCACUAGAGUCAAUAAUCCAGCUCACAUCGCUAUGUGAUUAACACUCAAGGUCACAUCCCCAUGUGACUAACACCCAAAGAGUUUACUAGAGUCAAUAAUCUAGUUCACAUUACCAUGUGAUCAACACUCGAUGAGUUCUGGGUUUGAUCAUGUUAUGCUUGUGAGAGAUGUUAUAGUCAACGGGUCUGAAUCUUUCAGAUCCGUGUGUGCUUUACAAAUCUCUAUGUCAUCUCCCAGAUGCAGCUACCACGUUCUAUUUGGAGCUAUUCCAAAUAACUGUUCUACUAUACGAAUCCAGUUUACUACUCAGAAUAAUCUGGAUUAGUGUCAAAGUUUGCAUCGGCGUAACCCUUUACGACGAACUCUUUUACCACCUCCAUAAUCAAGAAAAUUCCUUAGUCCACUAGUUACUAAGGAUAACUUUGACUGUUGUCCUGUGAUCCAUUCUUGGAUCACUCUUGUACCCCUUGACUGACUCAUGGCAAGGCACACUUCAGGUGCAGUACACAGUAUAGCAUACUGUAGAGAGCCUAUGACAAAAGCAUAGGGGACGACCUUCGUCCUUCCUCUUUCUUCUGCCGUGGUCGAGCUUUAAGUUUUAACUUCAUACCUUACAACUCAGGCAAGAACUCCUUCUUUGACUGAUCCAUCUUGAACACCUUCAAGAUCAUGUCAAGGUAUGUGCUUAUUUGAAAGUACCAUUAAGCGUUUUGAUCUAUCCUUAUAGAUCUUGAUGCUCAAUGUUCAAGUAGCUUAAUCCAGGCUUUCCAUUGAAAAACACUUUCCAAAUAACCUUACAUGCUUUCCAGAAAUUCUACGUUAUUUCUGAUCAACAAUAUGUCAAACAACAUAUACUCAUCAGAAAUUCUAUAGUGCUCCCACUCACUUCUUUGGAAAUACAAGUUUCCCAUAAACUUUGCAUACACCCAAAAUCUUUGAUCAUCUCAUCAAAGCAUACAUUCCAACUCCGAGAUGCUUACUCCAGUCCUUAGAAGGAUUGCUGGAUCUUUGCAUACUUAUUAGCAUCUUUCAGGAUUGACAAAACCUUCCGGUUGUAUCACAUACAACCUUUCCUCAAAAAAGUCGUCGAGGAAACAAUGUUUUGACAUCCUAUCUGCAAGAUUUCAUAAAUAAUGCAGUAAUCACUAAUAUAAUUCCAACAAACUCUUAGCAUCGCUACGAGUGAGAAAGUCUCAUCGUAGUCAACUCCUUGAACUUGUCAGAAAACAUCUUAACUACAAGUCGAGCUUUCUUAAUGGUGAUACUUACCAUCAUUGUCCGUCUUCCUUAUAAAAUCCAUAUGUACCUAACAGCCUUAUGACCAUCAAGUAGUUCUUCCAAAGUCUACACUUUGUUUUCAUAUAUGGAUCCUCUCUCGGAUUAUAUGGCCUCGAGCCAUUUUGGAAUCCAGGCCCACCAUCGCUUCUCCAUAGCUCGUAGGUUCAUUGUUGUCUAGCAACAUGACUUCCAAGACAGGAUUACGUACCACUCUAAAGUAGUACGCAUCCUUGUCAUCCCACGAGGUUUGGUAGUGACUUGAUCUGAAGUUUCAUGAUCACUAUCAUAAGCUUCCACUUCAAUUCGUGUAGGUGCCACAGGAACAACUCCCUAUGCCCUGCCACACACUAGUUGAAGAGACGGUUCAAUAACCUCAUCAAGUCUCCACCAUCCUCCCACUCAAUUCUUUUGAGAGAAACUUUUCCUCGAGAAAGGACCCGAUUAUAGAAACAAUCCCUUAUUGCUUUUGGAUCUGAGACAGGAGGUAUACCCAACUAUUUUGGGUGUCCUAUGAAGAUGCAUUUAUCCGCUUUGGGUUCGAGCUUAUCAGCCUGAAACUUUUUCACAUAAGCGUCGCAGCCCCAAACUUUUAAGAAAUGACAGCUUAGGUUUCUCUAAACCAUAGUUCAUACGGUGUCAUCUCAUCGGAAUUACGUGGUGCCCUAUUUAAAGUGAAUGUGGUUGUCUCUAAUGCUUAACCCAUAAAAUAUUGUGGUAAUUCGAUAAGAGACAUCAUGGUAUGCAUCAUAUCCAAUAGGGUGCAGUUAUGAUGUUCGGACACACCAUCACACUAUGGUGUUCCUGGCUGUAUUAGUUGUGAAACAAUUUCCACAACGUCUUAAUUCUGUGCCAAACUCGUAAUUCAGAUAUUCAUCUCUAUGAUCAUAUCAUAGAUCUUUUAUCCUCUUGUCACGAGGAUCUUACAACUUCACCCUGAAAUUACUUGAACCUUUCAAUAAUUCAGACUCGUGAUUCAUCAAGUAAAUAUACUCAACAUCUACUCAAAUCGUCUAUGAAGUAAGAACAUAACGAUAUCCACUACACGCCUCAGCACUCAUUGGACUGCACACAUCAAAAUGUAUUACUUCCAGCAAGUUGCUUUCUAGUUCCAUUUUACUGAAAACGAGGCUUUCAGUCAUCUUGCCCAUGUGGUAUGAUUUGCAUGUCUCAAGUGAUUCAAAAUCAAGUGAGUCCAAACGGUCCAUUUGCAUGGAGUUUCUUCAUGCAUAUACACCAAUAGACAUGGUUCGCAUGUCUCAGACUUUUCAAAAAUGAGUGAGCCCAAAGAUCCAUCAACAUGGAGCUUCUUCAUGCGUUUUAUGCCGAUAUGACUUAAGUGCCAGUGCCACAAGUAGGUGGUACUAUCAUUACUAUCUUAUAUCUUUUGGCAUGAACAUGUGUAUCACUACGAUCGAGAUUCAAUAAACCAUUCAUUUUAGGUGCAAGACCAUUGAAGGUAUUAUUCAAAUAAACAGAGUAACCAUUAUUCUCCUUAAAUGAAUAACCAUAUUGCAAUAGACAUAAUCCAAUCAUGUCUAUGUUGGAAAUAUGCCCUAGAGGCAAUAAUAAAAGCAUCAUUAUUAUAUUUCCUUGUUCAUGAUAAUUGUCUUUAUUCAUGCUAUAAUUGUGUUAUCCGGAAAUCGUAAUACAUGUGUGAAUAAUAGACACCAACAUGUCCCUAGUAAGCCUCUAGUUGACUAGCUCGUUGAUCAACAGAUAGUCAUGGUUUCCUGACUAUGGACAUUGGAUGUCAUUGAUAACGAGAUCACAUCAUUAGGAGAAUGAUGUGAUGGACAAGACCCAAUCCUAUACAUAGCACAAGAUCGUAUAGUUCGUUUGCUAGAGUUUUCCAAUGUCAAGUAUCCUUUCCUUAGACCAUGAGAUCGUGUAACUCCCGGAUACCAUAGGAGUGCUUUGGGUGUACCAAACGUCACAACGUAACUGGGUGACUAUAAAGGUAUACUACGGGUAUCUCCGAAAGUGUCUGUUGGGUUGACACGGAUCAAGACUGGGAUUUGUCACUCCGUAUGACGGAGAGGUAUCACUGGGCCCACUCGGUAAUGCAUCAUCAUAAUGAGCUCAAAGUGACCAAGUGUCUGGUCACGGGAUCAUGCAUUAUGGUACGAGUAAAGUGACUUGCCAGUAAUGAGAUUGAACGAGGUAUUGGGAUACUGACGAUCAGAUCUCGGGCAAGUAACAUACCAAUUGACAAAGGGAAUUGUAUACGGGGUUGCUUGAAUCCUCGACAUCGUGGUUCAUCCGAUGAGAUCAUCGAGGAGCAUGUGGGAGCCAACAUGGGUAUCCAGAUCCCGCUGUUGGUUAUUGACCAGAGAGCGAUCUCGGUCAUGUCUACAUGUCUCCCGAACCCGUAGGGUCUACACACUUAAGGUUCGGUGACGCUAGGGUUGUAGGGAUAUGUAUAUGCAGUAAUCCGAAUGUUGUUCGGAGUCCCGGAUGAGAUCCCGGACGUCACGAGGAGUUCCGGAAUGGUCCGGAGGUAAAGAAUUUUAUAUAGGAAGUGCUAUUUCGGCCAUCGGGACAAGUUUCGGGGUCAUCGGUAUUGUACCGGGACCACCGGAAGGGUCCCGGGGGUCCACCGGGUGGGGCCACCUGUCCCGGGGGGGCACAUGGGCUGUAGGGGGUGCGCCUUGGCCUACAUGGGCCAAGGGCACCAGCCCCAAGAGGCCCAUGCGCCUAGGGUUUCAAGGAGGAAGAGUCCUAGGAGGGGAAGGCACCUCCUAGGUGCCUUGGGGAGGAGGGAUUCCUCCCCUUGGCCGCACCCCCCUAGGAGAUUAGAUCUCCUAGGGCCGGCGCCCCCCCUUGGCCCUCCUAUAUAUUGUGGGGGAGAUGGAUGACUUCUUACCUUGAAAUUUGGUGCCUCCCUCUCCCUCUCCAACACCUCCUCCUCCUCCAUAGUGCUUGGCGAAGCCCUGCCGGAGUACUGCAGCUCCAUCACCACCACGCCGUCGUGCUGCUGCUGGAGCCAUCUCCCUCAACCUCUCCUUCCCCCUUGCUGGAUCAAGAAGAAGGAGACGUGGCUGUUCCGUACGUGUGUUGAACGCGGAGGUGCCGUCCAUUCGGCGCUAGGAUCUCCGGUGAUUUGGAUCACGUCGAGUAUGCCUUCCUCAUCCCCGUUCUUUGAACGCUUCCGCUCGUGAUCUACAAGGUACUUAGAUGCAUCUAAUCACUCAUUUCUAGAUGAACUCCUAGAUGGAUCUUGGUGAAACCGUAGGAAAAUUUUUGUUUUCUGCAACGUUCCCCAACAGUGGCAUCAUGAGCUAGGUCUAUGUGUAGUUCUUCUUGCGCGAGUAGAACACAAUUUGUUGUGGGCGUAGAUGUUGUCAACUUUCUUGCCGCUACUAGUCUUAUCUUGUUUCAACGGUAUUGUGGGAUGAAGCGGCCCGGACCAACCUUACACGUACGCUUAUGUGAGACCGGUUCCACUGACUAACAUGCACAAGUUGCAUAAGGUGGCUGGCGGGUGUCUGUCUCUCCUACUUUAGUUGGAGCGGAUUCGAUGAAAAGGGUCCUUAUGAAGGGUAAAUAGAAGUUGACAAAUCACGUUGUGGCUUUCACAUAGGUAAGAAAACGUUCUUGCUAGAACCCUACUUCAGCCACGUAAAAACUUGCAACAACAAUUAGAGGACGUCUAACUUGUUUUUGCAGCAAGUGCUUUGUGAUAUGAUAUGGCCAAAGUUGUGAUGAAUGAUGAAUGAUCUAUAUGUGAUGUAUGAGAUGUUCAUGCUAUUGUAAUAGGAAUCACGACUUGCAUGUCGAUGAGUAUGACAACCGGCAGGAGCCAUAGGAGUUGUCUUUAUUUUUUGUAUGACCCGCGUGUCAUUGAGAAACGCCAUGUAAAUUACUUUACUUUAUUGCUAAACGCGUUAGCCAUAGUAGUAGAAGUAAUAGUUGGCGAGCAACUUCAUGGAGACACGAUGAUGGAGAUCAUGGUGUCAUGCCGGUGACAAGAUGAUCAUGGAGCCCCAAGAUGGAGAUCAAAGGAGCUAUGUGAUAUUGGCCAUAUCAUGUCACUUUUAUUAUUUGAUUGCAUGUGAUGUUUAUCAUGUUUUUGCAUCUUGUUUACUUAGAACGACGGUAGUAAAGAAGAUGAUCCCUCAUAAUAAUUUCAAGAAAGUGUUCCCCCUAACUGUGCACCGUUGCGACAGUUCGUUGUUUCGAAGCACCACGUGAUGAUCGGGUGUUAGAUUCUAACGUUCACAUACAACGGGUGUAAGCCAGAUUUACACAUGCAAACACUUAGGUUGACUUGACGAGCCUAGCAUGUACAGACAUGGCCUCGGAACACAGAAGACCGAAAGGUCGAGCAUGAGUCGUAUAGAAGAUACGAUCAACAUGAAGAUGUUCACCGAUGUUGACUAGUUCGUCUCACGUGAUGAUCGGACACGGCCUAGUUAACUCGGAUCAUGUUAUACUUAGAUGACUAGAAGAGGGAUGUCCAUCUAAGUGGGAGUUCAUUGAAUAAUUUGAUUAGAUGAACUUAAUUAUCAUGAACUUAGUCUAAAAACUUUACAAUAUGUCUUGUAGAUCAAAUGGCCAACGUAGUCCUCAACUUCAACGCGUUCCUAGAGAAAACCAAGCUGAAAGACGAUGGCAGCAACUACACGGACUGGGUCCGGAACCUGAGGAUCAUCCUCAUAGCUGCCAAGAAAGAUUAUGUCCUACAAGCACCGCUAGGUGACGCACCUAUUCUCCCUGCAGAACAAGACGUUAUGAACGCUUGGCAGGCACGUACCGAUGACUACUCCCUCGUUCAGUGCGGCAUGCUUUACAGCUUAGAGCCGGGGCUCCAAAAGCGUUUUGAGAGACACGGAGCAUAUGAGAUGUUCGAAGAGCUGAAAAUGGUUUUCCAAGCUCAUGCCCGGGUCGAGAGAUAUCAAGUCUCCGACAAGUUCUUCAGCUGUAAGAUGGAGGAAAACAGUUCUGUCAGUGAGCACAUACUCACUAUGUCUGGGUUGCAUAACCGCUUGACUCAGCUGGGAGUUAAUCUCCCGGAUGACGCGAUCAUUGACAUAAUCCUUCAGUCGCUUCCACCGAGCUACAAGAGCUUUGUGAUGAACUUCAAUAUGCAGGGGAUGGAAAAGACCAUUCCUGAAGUAUUUGCAAUGCUGAAAUCAGCAGAGGUAGAAGUCAAAAAGGAACAUCAAGUGUUGAUGGUGAAUAAAACCACUAAGUUCAAGAAAGGCAAGGGUAAGAAAACCUUCAAGAAGGACGGCAAGGGAGUUGCCGCGCCCGGCAAGCAAGCUGCCGGGAAGAAGCCAAAGAAUGGACCCAAGCCCGAGACUGAGUGCUUUUAUUGCAAGGAGAGUGGUCACUGGAAGCGGAACUGCCCCAAAUACUUAGCGGACAAGAAGGCCGGCAAAACGAAAGGUAUAUGUGAUAUACAUGUAAUUGAUGUGUACCUUACCAGUACUCGUAGUAGCUCCUGGGUAUUUGAUACCGGUGCGGUUGCUCACAUUUGUAACUCAAAACAGGAGCUGUAGAAUAAGCGGAGACUGGCAAAGGACGAGGUGACGAUGCGCGUCGGGAAUGGUUCCAAGGUCAAUGUGAUCACCGUUGGCACGCUACCUCUACAUUUACCUUCGGGAUUAGUUUUAAACCUUAAUAAUUGUUAUUUAGUGCCAGCUUUGAGCAUGAACAUUGUAUCAGGAUCUCGUUUAAUUCGAGAUGGCUACUCAUUUAAAUCCGAGAAUAAUGGUUGUUCUAUUUAUAUGAGAGAUAUGUUUUAUGGUCAUGCUCCGAUGGUGAAUGGUUUAUUCUUAAUGAAUCUCGAGCGUAAUGCUACACAUGUUCAUAGUGUGAGUACCAAAAGAUGUAAGAUUGAUAAUGAUAGUCCCACAUACUUGUGGCACUGCCGCCUUGGUCACAUAGGUGUCAAACGCAUGAAGAAGCUCCAUGCAGAUGGACUUUUAGAGUCUCUUGAUUACGAAUCAUUUGACACGUGCGAACCAUGCCUCAUGGGUAAAAUGACCAAGACUCCGUUCUCAGGAACAAUGGAGCGAGCAACCAACUUAUUGGAAAUCAUACAUACUGAUGUGUGCGGUCUAAUGAGCGUUGAGGCUCGCGGUGGCUAUCGUUAUGUUCUCACCCUCAUUGAUGACUUGAGUAGAUAUGGGUAUGUCUACUUAAUGAAACACAAGUCUGAGACCUUUGAAAAGUUCAAGGAAUUUCAGAGUGAGGUUGAGAAUCAACGUGACAGGAAAAUCAAGUUCCUGCGAUCAGACCGUGGAGGUGAAUACUUGAGUCACGAGUUUGGCACACACUUAAGAAAAUGUGGAAUAGUUUCACAACUCACGCCGCCUGGAACACCUCAGUGUAAUGGUGUGUCCGAACGUCGUAAUCGCACUCUAUUAGACAUGGUGCGAUCUAUGAUGUCUCUUACCAAUUUACCGCUAUCUUUUUGGGGCUAUGCUUUAGAGACUGCCGCAUUCACUUUAAAUAGGGCUCCGUCGAAAUCCGUUGAGACGACACCGUAUGAAUUAUGGUUUGGGAAGAAACCUAAGCUGUCGUUUCUAAAAGUUUGGGGAUGCGAUGCUUAUGUCAAGAAACUUCAACCUGAAAAGCUCGAACCCAAGUCAGAAAAAUGCGUCUUCAUAGGAUACCCUAAAGAAACUAUUGGGUAUACCUUCUACCUCAGAUCCGAAGGCAAGAUCUUUGUUGCCAAGAAUGGGUCCUUUCUAGAGAAAGAGUUUCUCUCGAAAGAAGUAAGUGGGAGGAAAGUAGAACUUGAUGAAGUAUUACCUCUUGAACCGGAAAAUGGCGCAACUCAAGAAAAUGUUCCUGAGGUGCCUGCACCGACUAGAGAGGAAGUUAAUGAUGAUGAUCAAGAUACUUCUGAUCAAGCUCCUACUGAAAUUCGAAGGUCCACAAGGACACGUUCCGCACCAGAGUGGUACGUCAACCCUGUCUUGGAAAUCAUGUUGUUAGACAACGCUGAACCUUCGAACUAUGAAGAAGCGAUGGCGGGCCCGAAUUCCGACAAAUGGCUAGAAGCCAUGAAAUCCGAGAUAGGAUCCAUGUAUGAAAACGAAGUAUGGACUUUGACUGACUUGCCCGUUGAGCGGCGAGCCAUAGAAAAUAAAUGGAUCUUUAAGAAGAAGACAGACGCGGAUGGUAAUGUGACCAUCUAUAAAGCUCGGCUUGUCGCUAAGGGUUAUCGACAAGUUCAAGGGGUUGACUACGAUGAGACUUUCUCAUCGGUAGCGAAGCUAAAGUCCGUUCGGAUCAUGUUAGCAAUUGCCGCAUUCUAUGAUUAUGAAAUAUGGCAAAUGGACGUCAAAACGGCAUUCCUUAAUGGUUUCCUUAAGGAAGAAUUGUAUAUGAUGCAGCCGGAAGGUUUUGUCGAUCCUAAGAAUGCUGACAAGGUGUGCAAGCUCCAACGCUCGAUUUAUGGGCUGGUGCAAGCAUCUCGGAGUUGGAACAUUCGCUUUGAUGAGAUGAUCAAAGCGUUUGGGUUUAGGCAGACUUAUGGAGAAGCCUGUGUUUACAAGAAAGUGAGUGGGAGCUCUGUAGCAUUUCUCAUAUUAUAUGUAGAUGACAUACUUUUGAUGGGAAAUGAUAUAGAACUCUUGGACAACAUUAAGGCCUACUUGAAUAAAAGUUUUUCAAUGAAGGACCUUGGAGAAGCUGCUUAUAUAUUAGGCAUCAAGAUCUACAGAGAUAGAUCAAGACGCCUCAUAGGUCUUUCACAAAGCACAUACCUUGAUAAGAUAUUGAAGAAGUUCAAUAUGGAUCAGUCUAAGAAGGGGUUCUUGCCAGUGUUGCAAGGUGUGAAAUUGAGCUCAGCUCAAUGUCCGACCACGGCAGAAGAUAUAGAAGAGAUGAGUGUCAGCCCCUAUGCCUCAGCCAUAGGUUCUAUUAUGUAUGCCAUGCUGUGUACCAUACCUGAUGUAAACCUUGCCGUAAGUUUGGUAGGAAGGUACCAAAGUAAUCCCGGCAAGGAACACUUGAUAGCGGUCAAGAAUAUCCUGAAGUACUUGAAAAGGACUAAGGAAAUGUUUCUCGUUUAUGGAGGUGACGAAGAGCUCGUCGUAAAAGGUUACGUCGACGCUAGCUUCGACACAGAUCUGGAUGACUCUAAGUCACAAACCGGAUACGUGUAUAUUUUGAAUGGUGGGGCAGUAAGCUGGUGCAGUUGCAAGCAAAGCGUCGUGGCGGGAUCUACAUGUGAAGCGGAGUACAUGGCAGCCUCGGAGGCAGCGCAUGAAGCAAUUUGGGUGAAGGAGUUCAUCACCGACCUAGGAGUCAUACCCAAUGCGUCGGGGCUGAUCAAGCUCUUCUGUGACAACACUGGAGCUAUUGCUCUCGCCAAGGAGCCCGGGUUUCACAAGAAGACGAGGCACAUCAAGCGUCGCUUCAACUCCAUUCGUGAAAAUGUUCAAGAUGGAGACAUAGAUAUUUGUAAAGUACAUACGGACCUAAAUGUAGCAGAUCCAUUGACUAAACCUCUCCCUAGAGCAAAACAUGAUCAACACCAGAAUUCCAUGGGUGUUCGAUUCAUCACAAUGUAACUAGAUUAUUGACUCUAGUGCAAGUGGGAGACUGUUGGAAAUAUGCCCUAGAGGCAAUAAUAAAAGCAUUAUUAUUAUAUUUCCUUGUUCAUGAUAAUUGUCUUUAUUCAUGCUAUAAUUGUGUUAUCCGGAAAUCGUAAUACAUGUGUGAAUAAUAGACACCAACAUGUCCCUAGUAAGCCUCUAGUUGACUAGCUCGUUGAUCAACAGAUAGUCAUGGUUUCCUGACUAUGGACAUUGGAUGUCAUUGAUAACGAGAUCACAUCAUUAGGAGAAUGAUGUGAUGGACAAGACCCAAUCCUAAACAUAGCACAAGAUCGUAUAGUUCGUUUGCUAGAGUUUUCCAAUGUCAAGUAUCCUUUCCUUAGACCAUGAGAUCGUGUAACUCCCGGACACCGUAGGAGUGCUUUGGGUGUACCAAACGUCACAACAUAACUGGGUGACUAUAAAGGUAUACUACGGGUAUCUCCGAAAGUGUCUGUUGGGUUGACACGGAUCAAGACUGGGAUUUGUCACUCCGUAUGACGGAGAGGUAUCACUUGGCCCACUCAGUAAUGCAUCAUCAUAAUGAGCUCAAAGUGACCAAGUGUCUGGUCACGGGAUCAUGCAUUAUGGUACAAGUAAAGUGACUUGCCAGUAACGAGAUUGAACGAGGUAUUGGGAUACCGACGAUCAGAUCUCGGGCAAGUAACAUACCGAUUGACAAAGGGAAUUGUAUACGGGGUUGCUUGAAUCCUCGACAUCGUGGUUCAUCCGAUGAGAUCAUCGAGGAGCAUGUGGGAGCCAACAUGGGUAUCCAGAUCCCGCUGUUGGUUAUUGACCGGAGAGCGAUCUCGGUCAUGUCUACAUGUCUCCCGAACCCGUAGGGUCUACACACUUAAGGUUCGGUGACGCUAGGGUUGUAGGGAUAUGUAUAUGCAGUAACCCGAAUGUUGUUCGGAGUCCCGGAUGAGAUCCCGGACGUCACGAGGAGUUCCGGAAUGGUCCGGAGGUAAAGAAUUAUAUAUAGGAAGUGCUAUUUCGGCCAUCGGGACAAGUUUCGGGGUCAUCGGUAUUGUACCGGGACCACCGGAAGGGUCCCGGGGGUCCACCGGGUGGGGCCACCUGUCCCGGGGGGCCACAUGGGCUGUAGGGGGUGCGCCUUGGCCUACAUGGGCCAAGGGCACCAGCCCCAAGAGGCCCAUGCGCCUAGGGUUUCAAGGAGGAAGAGUCCUAGGAGGGGAAGGCACCUCCUAGGUGCCUUGGGGAGGAGGGAUUCCUCCCCUUGGCCGCACCCCCCUAGGAGAUUAGAUCUCCUAGGGCCGGCGCCCCCCCUUGGCCCUCCUAUAUAUAGUGGGGGAGAUGGAGGACUUCUUACCUUGAUCUUUGGUGCCUCCCUCUCCCUCUCCAACACCUCCCCCUCCUCCAUAGUGCUUGGCGAAGCCCUGCCGGAGUACUGCAGCUCCAUCACCACCACGCCGUCGUGCUGCUGCUGGAGCCAUCUCCCUCAACCUCUCCUUCCCCCUUGCUGGAUCAAGAAGAAGGAGACGUGGCUGUUCCGUACGUGUGUUGAACGCGGAGGUGCCGUCCGUUCGGCGCUAGGAUCUCCGGUGAUUUGGAUCACGUCGAGUACGCCUUCCUCAUCCCCGUUCUUUGAAUGCUUCCGCUCGCGAUCUACAAGGUACGUAGAUGCAUCUAAUCACUCGUUGCUAGAUGAACUCCUAGAUGGAUCUUGGUGAAACCAUAGGAAAUUUUUUGUUUUCUGCAACGUUCCCCAACAGUCUAUGCUCAACGCAAACACCAAUCUCGAUGGUAGAGGGAGCGUGCGAUGCUUGAUCACAUCAAGCUUGGGAAAAACUUCCAACACAUAUCGCCAGCUCACCUUUAGCUAGUCUCCGUUUACUCUGCAGCCUUUUAUUUCGAGUUUACUAACACUUAGCAACCGAACCGGUAUCUAAUACCAUGGUGCUACUGGGAGUACUAGUAAAGUACACAUUAACACAAUGUAUAUCCAAUAUACUUCUAUCGACCUUGCCAGCCUUCUUUAUCUACCAAGUAUCUGGGGUGGUUCUGCUUCAGUGACUGUUCCCCUUAUUACAGAAGCACUUAGUCUCGGGCUUGGGUUCAACUUUGGGUUUCUUCACUAGAAUAGCAACUGAUUUGUUGUUCCAUGAAGUAUCCCUUUCUUGCCCUUGCCCUUCUUGAAACUAGUGGUUUUACUAACCAUCAACGAUUGAUGCUCCCUUUUGAUUUCUACUUUUGUGGUGUCAAACAUCGCGAAUAUCUCAAGGAUCAUCAUAUAUGUCCCUGAUAUAUUAUAGUUCAUCACGAAGCUCUAGAAGCUUGGUGGUAAUGACUUCGGAGAAACAUCACUAUCUCAUUUGGAAGAUCAACUCCCACUCGAUUCAAAUGAUUGUUGUACUCAGACAAUCUGAGCACAAGCUUAACAAUUGAGCUUUUCUCCCUUAGUUUGCAGGCUAAGAAAAUCGUCGGAGGUCUUAUACCUCUUGACGUGGGCACGAGCCUGAAAUCCCAAUUUCAGCCCUCAAAACAUCUCAUAUGUUUCGCGACGUUUGAAAACCGUCUUCGGUGCCUCAACUCUAAAUCGUUUAACUGAACUAUCACGUAGUUAUCAAAACGUGUAUGUCAGAUGUUCGCAACAUCCACAGACGACGUUCGAGGUUCAGCACACUGAGCGGUGCAUUAAGGACAUAAGCCUUUUAUGAGGACAAUCCUCAGUUUACGGACCUAGUUCGCAUAAUUGCUACUAUCAAAUUUCAACUAAAUUUUCUCUAGGAGCAUAUCUAAACAGUAGAACUGAAGCGCGAGCUACGACAUAAUUUGCGAAGACCUUUUGACUAUGUUCAGGAUAAUUAAGUUCAUCUUAUGAACUCCCACUCAGACUGACAUCCCUCUAGUCAUCUAAGUGAUUACAUGAUCCGAGUCAACUAGGCCGUGUCCGAUCAUCACGUGAGACGGACUAGUCAACAUCGGUGAACAUCUUCAUGUUGAUCGUAUCUACCAUACGACUCAUGCUCGACCUUUCGGUCUCUUGUGUUCCGAGGCCAUGUCUGUACAUGCUAGGCUCGUCAAGUUAACCUAAGUGUUUCGCAUGUGUUCCGAGGCCAUGUCUGUACAUGCUAGGCUCGUCAACACCCGUUGUGUUCGAACGUAAGAAUCUAUCACACCCGAUCAUCACGUGGUGCUUCGAAACAACAAACUGUCGCAACGGUGCACAGUUAGGGGGAACACUUUCUUGAAAUUAUUAUGAGGGAUCAUCUUAUUUACUACCGUCGUUCUAAGCAAAUAAGAUGUAAACAUGAUAAACAUCACAUGCAAUCAAAUAGUGACAUGAUAUGGCCAAUAUCAUACUGCUCCUUUUGAUCUCCAUCUUCGGGGCUCCAUGAUCAUCAUCGUCACCGGCAUGACACCAUGAUCUCCAUCAUCAUGAUCUCCAUCAUCGUGUCUUCGUGAAGUUGUCUUGCCAACUAUUACUUCUACUACUACAGCUAAAGGUUAGCAAUAAAGUAAAGUAAUUACAUGACGUUUUAUGUUGACACGCAGGUCAUAAAUAAAUUAAUACAACUCCUACGGCUCCUGCCGGUUGUCAUACUCAUCGACAUGCAAGUCAUGAUUCCUAUUACAAGAACAUGAUCAAUCUCAUACAUCACAUAUCAUUCAUCACAUUCUUCUUGGCCAUAUCACAUCACAUAGCAUACCCUGCAAAAACAAGUUAGACGUCCUCUAAUUGUUAUUUGCAUGUUUUACGUGGCUGCUAUGGGUUUCUAGCAAGAACGUUUCUUACCUACGCAAAAACCACAACGUGAUAUGCCAAUUGCUAUUUACCCUUCAUAAGGACCCUUUUCAUCGAAUCCGAUCCGAGUAAAGUGGGAGAGACAGACACCCGCUAGCCACCUUAUGCAACUAGUGCAAGUCAGUCGGUGGAACCAGUCUCACGUAAGAGUACGUGUAAGGUCGGUCUUGGCCGCUUCAUCCCACAAUGCCGCCGAAUCAAGAUUGGACUAGUAACGGUAAGCAUAUUGAACAAAAUCAAUGCCCACAACUACUUUGUGUUCUACUCGUGCAUAGAAACUACGCAUAGACCUAGCUCAUGAUACCACUGUUGGGGAACGUAGCAGAAAUUCAAAAUUUUCCUACGUGUCACCAAGAUCUAUCUAUGGAGAAACCAGCAACGAGGGGAAGGAGAGUGCAUCUACAUACCCUUGUAGAUCGCUACGCGGAAGCGUUCAAGUGAACGGGGUUGAUGGAGUCGUACUCAUCGUGAUUCAAAUCACCGAUGAUCCUAGUGCCGAACGGACGGCACCUUCGUGUUCAACACACAUACAGCCCGGUGACGUCUCCUACGCCUUGAUCCAGCAAGGGGAGAAGGAGAGGUUGGGAAGACUCCAUCCAGCAGCAGCACGACGGCGUGGUGGUGGUGGAGGAGCGUGGUACUCCAGCAGGGCUUCGCUAAGCACCGCGAGAUAUGAGGAGAAAGAGAGGUAGGGCUGCGCCAGGGAGAGGUUAAGAACUCAUGUGUGUUGGGCAGCCCAAACCUCAAGUAUAUAUAGGGGGAGGGGAGGGGCUGCGCCUCCACCUAGGGUUCCCUCCCUAGGGGUGGCGGCAGCCCCCGGAUCCCAUCUGGGUGGCGGCCACAAGGGGGAGAGGGGAGGUGCACCUAGGGUGGGCCUUAGGGCCCAUCUGCCCUAGGGUUUGCCCCCUUCCCUCUUGGAGGCGCCUUGGGCCCUUGUGGGGGGGCGCACCAGCCCACCUGGGGCUGGUCCCCUCCCACACUUGGCCCAUGUAGCCCUCCGGGGCUUGUGGCCCCACUUGGUGGACCCCCGUGACCCUCCCGGUGGUCCCGGUACGUUACCGAUAAACCCCGAAACUUUUCCGGUGACCAAAACAGGACUUCCCAUAUAUAAAUCUUUACCUACGGACCAUUCCGGAACUCCUCGUGACGUUCGGGAUCUCAUCCGGGACUCCGAACAACAUUCGGUAACCACGUAUAUCUAUUCCCUAUAACCCUAGCGUCAUCGAACCUUAAGUGUGUAGACCCUACGGGUUCGGGAACCAUGCAGACAUGACCGACAUAACUCUACGGUCAAUAACCAACAGCGGGAUCUGGAUACCCAUGUUGGCUCCCACAUGUUCCACAAUGAUCUCAUCAGAUGAACCAUGAUGUCAAGGACUUAAUCAAUCCCGUAUACAAUUCCCUUUGUCCAGCGGUACGAUACUUGCCCGAGAUUCGAUCGUCGGUAUCCCGAUACCUUGUUCAAUCUCGUUACCGGCAAGUCUCUUUACUCGUUCCAUAACACAUCAUCCCGUGAUCAACUCCUUGAUCACAUUGUGCACAUUAUGAUGAUGUCCUACCGAGUGGGCCCAGAGAUACCUCUCCGUUUACACGGAGUGACAAAUCCCAGUCUUGAUUCGUGCCAACCCAACAGACACUUUCGGAGAUACCUGUAAUAUACCUUUAUAGCCACCCAGUUACGUUGUGACGUUUGGCACACCCAAAGCACUCCUACGGUAUCCGGGAGUUGCACAAUCUCAUGGUCUAAGGAAAUGAUACUUGACAUUAGAAAAGCUUUAGCAUACGAACUACAUGAUCUUGUGCUAGGCUUAGGAUUGGGUCUUUUCCAUCACAUCAUUCUCCCAAUGAUGUGAUCCCGUUAUCAACGACAUCCAAUGUCCAUGGUCAGGAAAUCGUAACCAUCUAUUGAUCAAUGAGCCAGUCAACUAGAGGCUUACUAGGGACAUGGUGUUGUCUAUGUAUCCACACAUGUAUCUGAGUUUCCUAUCAAUACAAUUCUAGCAUGGAUAAUAAACGAUUAUCAUGAACAAGGAAAUAUAAUAAUAACCAAUUUAUUAUUGCCUUUAGGGCACAUUUCCAACACUUGGAUGGCUUUUGAGGUUCACAAUGCUUAUAUAGUGAUCAUGUUUUCUCCUGUGGUGAUGGUUGUGAGAUCAAGGCCAAAGGAAGGUGCGGUGAUCAUCUUGAUGCAACAUCAACAACUUUUGGUCUCCUAGUGUGACCUUAGUUGCGGGGUACCCUUCGAUGAAUUUUGUCACUCUCCUAGUUCUGUAAGAUGUAGAGUGAUCACUGGCAAACAUGUGAUGUUCCUUUCGGAGUCUCAACAACAUAUUCCUUUUGACUGAUCCAAAGUCUCUCCUUCCCGCUCUUCUCGGUAGGUUCAUGUGGUGUUGAGUGAUAAGUAUAAGUCUUGGUGGUGUUUUCCUAGGAGAUAACUUGUUCCAGAAUUUCUUUCUCUGUCCCCAUGUGUUUUUUCUUGUGUAAGUGUGGUGUACUACAAUUGAUAGCCCUGGUGUUUGCACCCUUGUUUUAUUUAAUUUAAAUGAUUUUAUGCUCGCUGAAACUUGCAUAAGAAAGAAAACCACACUAAAACGAGUGAAUAUUCCAUGGCAAGAACAUGCCCUCGAAUGUAAAUAUGUAUUAUAGGGAUCAACUGCGAUUCUAUGUGUAAGCUGUGGGGUCAGCUGACGCCAUAACUUCUCUUAUUACAAGCUUAAUUCUAUUCAUAUUUGAGCAAAAUUUUAGGAAAUUUUAGAGAUAUUAGUGUACUUGAACCCACAACUUUUGGGUGUUGGCACCGCCACUAGCAGGGAUGUUGUCUAAUCACACUUCGAGCAUAUCUAGCCCUUCCCCUAAAAACCUUUAACCCUCUACGAAAUAUUUCAUUUAGGGAAUUAACACCCAUGUAACCCCUCCCACAAACAUUUAAUACAUAAAAAUAUAGCUUUUGAUCCCUCAACCGCUCUGGCCUAAAUUUGCUCUAAAAAUAAUAACCCACAACAAAUAUAGCUUUUGCUUGCUCCGCUCCAUCACUCCCAACUAGACUACUGUCAUUGUUGCCCCAAUCGCUGUCAACAAGCACCGCCCCACCGUGCCUCUCCCCUUUAUCCGUCCCGCCCCCGUAGCCAUGCCUUCCCUCACUGCCUCCUCCCUCAUCAUUGCUAGAAUCCGCCGAAAACCUUCGUUUCUAUCACCAUCGCAAAAUUCACUGCCAACCCCCAAUGUUGUAGGGAAUGGACCCACAGGAGCAUCGUGAUGUCAUAGGAUACCAACACGCAUGCCCAUGCCGGUUGGCAAUGCUAUAAUCAGUUGGGCUCACCGUCGCCAUCGUUGAGAUUGUUGCCGCUUCCUUCGUCUUGUAUGUGUCAUCACCGACACUGGGAAUCAUUGCUGCGGGAUGCUAGGGACCAUUGCCGGCCUCCUUCAAGUUGCCCGGUCAUCGCCGGAGCUACAUCGCCAACCAUUGUGGCUUGGACCUCCUCCGUACGCAAGAUACUCCGCUAAUUGCCCCCCAACAAUUAUUUUGUUUCCUUUUUCUAUGUGUUUUCAUCAUUUAUGGUCCCCAAUUGAUCAUGGAACACUCCAAUGUGAGAUUGUAGGAGAAUUACUUUGACGAUUAAUCAUCGGAGUAGAAAGAAGAACAUGAUGAUUUCGAGAUGGCCUUUGCCGCGAUCAUUUGAGAGGAGGAUUUUAGGAGACUGCGGCUUGGUUCUCAGAGUGGACACAUCUGGAUUCAUGUACAUAGGGUAAAGGCUCAUGAUGAUCUAGUAGGAAUUGCUUUGCGCCGAAUGCAACAUAUCUGGAGAAGUGUUUUCAUCUGUGAUUUUGGAUGCACAACAUAUCUUCAACACCAUUGCAAGAGUUGUUGAGAAGACCAUGAUCCUUGGUUCAAACUAAAAAGAAAUGUUGUGGGAGAAGUCACUGCAAGUCCAUUCUUGAAGAUUACCACGGGCAUGCAAGUGCUUGCACACGGAUGCCCGACUGACACCAAUGAUGAUUAUGUCCGCAUUGGGGAAGUAUCAUCCUUGACUGUGUGGAGUGAUUCACCCAAGCUGUGCUCGAGGUUUUUGGACAUGAGUACUUGAGGGCACCCAUAGAUGAAGAUACAAAAAGGCUUUUGGCAGAAAGUGAAGAUAGAGGUUGGCCAGGGAUGUUGGGAUCCAUUGAUUGUAUUGCAUUAGACAUGGAAGAAUUGUCAUGUGGCAUGGCAAGGUUAGUUCAAAGGACAUUGUCAUGAUCCAAUCAUCAUUCUUGAUGCAGUUGCAUUACAAGAUAUGUGGAUUUAACGUUCAUACUUAAGGAUGCCUGGAUCACAUAGUGACCUCAGUGUUCACUAGACAUCUCCUCUAUUUGCAGGACUUGUUGUUGGUGAAGUUCCACCUUGUAACUAUGUUGUCAAUUGCCAUGAGUACAACAUGGGCUACUACAUUGUCGAUGAUAUCUAUACUCCAUGAGCCACAUGUUUGAAGACAAUCUAAUGUUCCCAAGGCAACAAGAGAUCUCCCUUCACUACGUGUCAAGAAUAUGUGAGAAAGUAUGUUGGGAGAGCUUUUGGUGUGCUUAAAAGAUGCUUUAAAAUUGUCUGUGGCCCUGCUGAGUAUUGGAAGCCUUAGAGACUAUGGAAGAUCAUGAAAACAUGUGUUAUAUUGCAAAAUGUUAUCAUCGAGGGCGAGAGGAAUGACCAAGAACUUGGGGUUCAUCUACAAUUGUGGCAUGGUGGAACUGUAUCAUCACCCAAACAUGAUCUAAGCAUUCCUCGAAGCAGACGAAGGAUCGAGAACCAAUAAACUCACAACUAAUACUAAGAUGAUCUUGUUGAGCAACAUUGGCAACUUUAUAACACUUGAUUCUUGUGCUUUGAUCAUUUUUAUUUAGAUUAUUAGUUCAUUCAGACCGUAUGGUGUGUUGGAAUUUUAAAACAUUGAAUUUGGUAUGUAUAUGAAUUGUGUGUAUUUGAAAUCCCAAGUUUUGGAUUAAUAUGAUGUGAAAAUAUAUGUUCAAAUGGAGUUUGUAUGCGAACGCUUGGAAAAAAAUACUCUCUCCGUUCCUAAAUAUAUGUCUUUAUAGAUAUUCCAAUAUGAACUACAUACAGAUAUAUAUAGACGUAGUUUAGAAUGUAGAUUCAUUUAUUUUGCUCCGAAUGUAGUCCAUAUUGAAAUCUCUAGAAAGCUUAUAUUUAGGAACGGAGGGAGUAUAUUUUAGAGGAUUAAGUUUCAGGGCUAAGUGCAAAAAAAAAAUCAAUCUCUCAAAUUUUAGGGGGAAUUUACUGGAUGAAAUAUAAGGGACCGUUAGAGACGCUCUUGUAUAACCUGUGUUUUCGGAUACCAUACUUAGGGCAUCUCCAACUCUGACCCCCAAAUUUCCUCCCACAUCCAUCCACGGACAGGGGACCAGUUUACGGACACGGGUGCGGGAGUUGGCCAUCCAACACUACAUGCAUACACGUUUAAACAAACCGGAUGAAAUUUAAACAAACUCGACGGAUUUCAUUCAAGUUCAGAAAUAAUUUACAUAAAAAGUCGAUAUUUCGACCAUUUAACUAAAAACUUUUAAAAUAAUUAAACCCUAUACCGGAUGACCAUCUCGUAGGCGUGGCCGCCCUGCCUUGCCGCACCAUCGUCACCGUCCGUGUCGUCCCUCCAACCGCGAAAGCGCGGCGGGGAUGGUGGCUCCUCCUUGACGCGCACCGGCGAUGGUUGCGCCGGACCCAUGUGACGGAGCGAACACUCCAUCAUCAUCCGUCAGGGUGGCCUCACGCGAGAAGGCGGGGCUGCUGCUCGAGCCGUUGUUGCGGCAUCUGGUCCUCCUCCUCGUCGGAAGAGAUGACAAUCUCAUCCUUGCCGGAGGAGCCAGCCGCCGUGGAUGCCGAGGUGCCAGGAGAGCGACGACGGCGGCGCCAAAAUCUGCCUGAAGAAGAACUGCCACGGCCACGGCCUCCGCCUGCCGGCGCGGAGAACCAUGACUUUGGCAUCGGCACUGGAAUUUUGGGGGCUCAGAGAGGAGUGGCACAAGAGGAGGAGGUGUGGACGUGCAUCACCGGCGCGCAUCUUAAAUAGCCGCGCCCACGACCACGCGAACCGGCGGUCAACCCGCUUCAAUGCGGCGCAACGGCCAGAGUUCGUUUCUCAGAACGCGGUGUCGCAUUAAAGCGACGACGCUCUAGAGGUCGCAUCUGUCAGCGUCACCCUCACGUCCGGUUACGUCGCGCAACAUCAAUGCCGUCCGGUGCAUACUCUGGGCCGGUAUGAAUGCGGCGCGGCAACGGCGCCGACGUUCGAUGAAAAGUGCGGGUGAGGCGGGUGGGUUUCUUUGGUGGGCCAGUGUAGUUAGAAGCGGGCGUGGCAUCGUUUCGGACGCCCGCAAAGCCACCCAAUUUAUCUCCGGUUUGAACAUUUGUGACCAGCUUACGAACCGAUACAGAUACAGGUCCGUGUUGAAUGACAAAACGCGUCCGAAAAGUGUGGUCAAGGAGGUUGCGAGUAGUUUAAGGGUCCGCGUAGGAGAUGCCCUUAUAUAUGACCUUCUUUUAGCGGGGCUCAUAUCACCUUGAUAGAGCACAGUAUGCCAUGUUUACUUUCAAAUAGAGUAUGCUCACGUCCUCAUGAAGACAUGCACGCAGUCAAAUUUACUCCCUCCGUUUCUAAAUACUUGUCUUUCUAGGCAUUUCAACAAGUGACUACAUACGGAGCAAAAUGAGUGAAUUUGCACUCUAAAAUAUGUCUACAUACAUCCGUAUGUAGUAGUCAUUUAAAAUGUCUAGAAAGACAAGUAUUUAGGAACGGAGGGAGUACUACAGUAUGCAUGUUUGACAAACAAUAUAUUUACGACAGACUUUCUACGGAACAUGACCCUGAAGUCCAAGAUAUGAAAUUAUCUACAAGUCCGGCCACAUGAAACUAAUGAGCACGGUUAGGUGCAGAACUGACUAUGCGCAGUCCAUGUUCUUCUUGCCAGCUUUUCCAUGCUUCUCAUGCAUGGAGAAGUUUUCAGAAAACGACGGUUCGGAUUCAACGAUAAACGUCUAGUUCGGUUUGGUGACCAGUUUUUUCUUUUCGUUCAAUUAUCGGAGAAAAUGGCAUUUGUUUUGUCAUGUUGGUACCCAUCGUAAGGUAGUCGAUCAUUAUGUUCUUGUUAUGUAAUUUGUCUUCCCUUCAUUUGCAUUUUUUCUUCAACCAAAUUGCAGUCCUGAACUCUGUUCAGUCUUUUUUUUAGAGAAAAGGCAUGGGUCGAGCCUGAGAAAAAGUUUGAAUCUAGCCUGCUUUGAAUUAAUAAACAACUUACAAAAGAAAACAGUAGACAAGAAACGGCAAGAUACAAGGUGUUGACGCAGCUUAUAGCCUAACGAUGAUACACACAAAAGAAAAAUAGAAAAAUGAGCCCAGUCUAAAUCACCGAGGCCAAAGGUCAAGAACAACAACCACACUAGCACCGGUAGCCAACACCUCUUUGUCUACUCCCGCAGAGCUUCUCAACAAGACAUCUACUUCUACCUCCGAAGAGGAUCACAAUCCUCUCGCUCUGGCUCGAAGGGCCUCGUACCGUCGGAAGGCAGAAAGCUAACCAUAGGGCAGCAUGGACAAUGCCAACCAAGCAUCCUGGGCAUGAGGGACCGGAGAGCUAACCACAAUCGCAGGGCUCCCGUGAUCUCACCACCGACCACAGGCCAACCACACAUGCAAACGCAAGCCGAAGAAUGUUACCACAUAACAAAUAAUGGUGGUAGAAGAAGUAGAUCGAUGCAUAAGAAGCCGCCACCGACCGCCCGCAAUCCAGCAAAAGAUCACCAACCUUGGUUCCACGAACCCUGGACAAUGCCUUCAGGAAGAGGCGCAACGAGGGCACGCCGCCGCCCAUUCGCACGGGGAACUAGAGCUUUUGCCAAAGGGGGAGCAAGAAGGAGAACAUGAGGGCACCUCGACAAGCCCUCCGCCGACGACCAAGGGUUUCCCCCGGCCCCACUCCCCAUCCCAACCAACCAACCACAAAACUGAAUAGGGGAGCACAAACCACCGUUGAAGGGUGGUGGACAUCGUCGGAAGCAGGCAUGCCGGGUGACGGGGCACCCCAACACACCAUAGUGCAUGCCCGCCGCAACCUCGCCGUCCACAUGGACGAAGUCACGGACCAGCACCCACGAUCUUCGCUCGUUGAAGAGAUGACACCAUCCGCUCUGCCUAGGGACAUCACCUUGGUAUCUGGCCCCCACACACAUCCCAUCGAAACAAGAAGAGGGUCACAUGCCACAACCAUCAAGGAGCACAUAUCGGCCACGUCGGCCAGAUCUGGAUGAAUCCGGUGCAUCCGAGACCAACAACGACAUAUCAAAGACAGAGAGAAGGGGUAGCUGGGGGCACCUAGAGGGGAGGAGGUACAGGGCCCCAACCCUGGUCUAUGCCGACCGGAGCUAGCAGCCAAAGCCGUCAAGGACAGUCCCUACACUAGAUCCGGGUAGAAGAGUGUCUCGACCCAAGACCAGCGCGCGACGAUGGAUCCCACAGCUAGGACACCGCCAGUUACGUAUCGCUCCCUUGCUUGUGACCCAAAUCCCAUCUGAUGGAUGGAACGUCAGGGCAACACAUUCUCCGAAGGUCGAGGGGACUCCCAUUCCUGUGCCGUUGAGAGUGACGACCUCUCUCGUGACGUCUAAGAGGUUAAGCAACCNNNNNNNNNNNNNNNNNNNNNNNNNNNNNNNNNNNNNNNNNNNNNNNNNNNNNNNNNNNNNNNNNNNNNNNNNNNNNNNNNNNNNNNNNNNNNNNNNNNNNNNNNNNNNNNNNNNNNNNNNNNNNNNNNNNNNNNNNNNNNNNNNNNNNNNNNNNNNNNNNNNNNNNNNNNNNNNNNNNNNNNNNNNNNNNNNNNNNNNNNNNNNNNNNNNNNNNNNNNNNNNNNNNNNNNNNNNNNNNNNNNNNNNNNNNNNNNNNNNNNNNNNNNNNNNNNNNNNNNNNNNNNNNNNNNNNNCAACUCCGCCUCCAUGAUAGUAGCCAUUUGCUCCCAAGGCAUCCUCGUUGGUGGUGGUAUGGCGAUCGGCGCUCAGUCCUGGCGCAAUGACGAUGCGAGGGCUAGGGAUGUGCAACAGCAUGGGGGUCGUUGCGAGGUCUAGAGCGUGCGACAGAGUGGGCGGUGGGUGUGCGAGGAGAGAGGUGUGUGAAGAGAUCUUGGGACCGGGGCUGGGAGAACGCUUGUCUCCGAAAUUGAAUGAUUGAUCCUGUGUGCAAACGUUGUGCCACUGCCGAGUUGUUCCGUUGUCCUGUCCCGCCAUCAUUGGGCCCCACAGCAGAAUCUACGAUAAAAAAAACGUCUCCCCCCAGUUGACAUGACAAAUGAUGUCUUCCACAGAGGUGUGGUUAACGUGGCGAAACUGCAAAGAAAAUUGUUGCCCCAAAGAAGAAAAUAUCGAGAAGGGCUUGUAGAAACUCCGAAGACCAUGAAAGAUAGACCAAUCCAGACAAAUCCACCAAAAACCUAAACUGAGCAUAUCCUGAAAGACCGUUGGGACAUAACUUUGCACAUCCUUCACCGACGAUGAAUACACCAAUAAAACAGGGUAGGAUAGGGAAAAACUUGUUCCUACAAAGAGACGGCGUCACCGUCUCACAUCCCUAAGCAAAACCCUAAGACAACCUAAGCCCAUCACCGCCCAAGAUCCUUUCGUGAAACACCCUUCUCUCAUUACUAGGCUAGGCCGGGCCGCCGCUAAAGGUAGCCAAUGCACAGAGGUGAGCCGCUAGCCCGGACCAGUCGCCGCUCCAUGAGCGCCAGCAUGCGUAGCAGGCGGCCCUUUCCGCAAUAUUGCGUGCCCCUCCGAGCACCAUAUUUGUGAAGGACCUCUCCGCCGCUGCCGGCGCUGCGCGGGCUUUGCCUGACGGCGCACGUGUUAGUGGCUAGAGGAGAAGAGGCGAUCUAGAUUUUUGGUGGUGGCGGGGGCGGCGAGAGAAUGUUUCCGUGUAAACUAAUUUUGUCCGAAUAUGCCCUGGCUAUUUCGAAGUCACCGAUAACAACCUGUACAGAAAAUGUAUGAAAGAAUCCGAAAGUCAUAGCGUUGCCAUGUUCUCUAGCAAAUUAAGAAACUGGGGAUCUCACUUAGUCCACCACUCAGAGCCACAUGGAAAAGUUAAUCAUGGAGCAAAAAUUAGUCGAUAGUUGCAGUUAUUAUACACAAUUUGACCUUGGCGAGGACAAUAGCAGCUAGAGAUUGGCGAUAGCGUAUUUAUGAUAGUACAACUGUCUCGGUCUUCCUGCCUGCAGGAGCCACAAAUCUGUGAAGAAAGGGUUGAGCUUUGCGAAUCUGUCUGCGAGUUGCGUGGGGCUAGCGUUGGUGGAUCCAUGUGGCCGGAGAGCCCGCCUCUCCGGGACGCCGGCGCUGCCGUGCUCACCGGAUGCGUCGCCAUGGCGGUGCUCCGCUUCUGGGAGGAGGUCGGCAACCGCGCCCUCUUGGACCAAGUAAGCUCUGCUCGCCACCUAAACAAUUCCUAUUUUUGUUGUUGUUGUUGGGGAUCGAUGAUUGCUUCAAUUUGCACGGAGAAAUUCUGGAGUAAAUCGCACAAGCCAAGUCGAAAUCAUCUCUCAGUUAAUGUACUCCUAGAAAGGUUAUCUCUCUGCUCCUAGUUCUACUCCUUUUGCCCCACUGACCAAUCCUGUAAUUAAAAGGCGAAAUUAAGCUACCAAAAUUACUUAGCAUGGCCGAAAAGUUUGGAAUAUUACUAACCUGGUCGUUUAGUUACCAAGACAAUGGAGAUUCACAUGCAAAUUAUUGAUGGGAGAUUGAUUGGGGUCCUUUGCUCUGCAUUUUCAGAAACUCUGCAGGAAGCUGGUGCACAUCAGUGUUGGGCUGGUAUAUUUCCUGAUGUGGCCUUUGUUCAGGUAAACCAGAGCACCAACGAACAAAGCUCUUCAUUUCAUUUGGCAUAAACUCUGCGCAUUACCUUUCUAACAUCUCUUCCCCAUUGCAGUGCAGAUGAUGUCUAUGCUCCAUUUCUUGCUUCAAUUGUCAUUGCGCUCAAUAUCAUAAAGGUAAUCUUGAUUGGAUCUGGUGUAGUUAAAGAUGACGGCGUGGUUAACUCGAUGACAAGAAAUGGAGACUACAGGUAGCCUCUGUUUUCCCCCAUCUGUGUUACUGUAUUCCCGCGACAGUAUGAACUGACUAUCUUCAUCGUUUCUCCAUUGUUUCUAGAGAGCUUCUCAAAGGCCCACUCUAUUACGCGUGUACUAUAACCCUCACUACCGUAAUCUUUUGGAGGACGUCUCCCAUUUCGAUUGCUGUGAUUUGCAACUUGUGCGCGGGGGACGGUACUAGUUCUUUCUCAUGCAAUUACAGUUUUUGUCCGGCACUACUACGCUCUCCUUUGAUUCUUCGAGCGAAGGUUUCAGAAAACAGCAUGACACUAUGCAUGCUGCUUCUUUCAGGUGUGGCUGACAUAGCCGGGAGGCGGUUCGGGCAUGUGAAGCUCCCUCACAACCCCGACAAAUCCUAUGCCGGAAGCAUCGCAAUGUUCUUCGCCGGCUUCGUCGCAUCGAUCCUGUAAGCAACAAGAUAUGCACACAUCCUACUUGACCCUGAAGCCUGAAGUCAUCUCUUGUUUUACAGUCUGAAAGACCGAGACUAAUACUGAAUGUGGUAUGCCUGCAGUUUCAUGUGCUACUUCCACCUUUUCGGAUUCGUGGAGCAGAGCUGGACCAUGGUCGCUGCCUUUGGCGUCACGUCGCUUGCAGCGGCGAUUGUCGAGUCACUCCCGGUCAGCACGCUCUUGGACGAUAACCUGACGACUCCAAUCGCGUCGGCGCUCGUCGGCAGCCUGGUUUUCUACUAUGUUGGUGGUGGUGGCGGUGCCGGAAGCGGCGACGGGACCAGCAUCUCGGCGACUGCUGCGAUGGUCUUUGCAGGCAGUAGCUAUUACAGUGAGGGCUAAGGAGAAGUUGCAGUGAAUUGGAAGGCUUUGGUGGUGUGAUGAUACUGCAAUGAGUUGCAGUAGUUGAGAUGGUUUUUGCAGGCUGUUACUGGGUGUUGGUUAAUCCGGUCUGUGUCUCUGUUAAAUUUGGUUUGACAGUGUCAUUGUGUGAGCAGCAUUGUUCGAAGUUCUGAAUAACAUUUGUAGACAGGGUAAAAUGUGACACUCCGGGAGCGGCACUAUACCGUAGAUACCUCCGCUAGCAAAUGUACGGCAGGUAUUAUAAAAUUGGGUGACCAAUGGGCUUUUCGGGAUGAACGACCAAUCGCACCGUUCCACACCGCCCCCAGCCAGCACAUAGCGACCCCACCGACGAAGAUGCCCACUGGUCUCCCUUCAAAAAAAGAAGAUGCCCACUGGUCAUACACGCGUGAAAGAAACAACAAGAUGAAACAGACAAUAAAUAUCCAACGGAGGAGGAGAGCCAAGGUGGAAUUUUUACCACGGUCUAACGGCUACAAACGGCCUAAUCGGGGGAGCAUGCUAGAGGCAAGUUGGCUAGAGUCUUUAUAGGUUAGAAUAGCACUACAAAAUAACUGCAAAAAUGUAUAUACAACAAGUCUCGAAAAAUCAAAUUAACAAAAUAAUGCAAUAAAAGGGUUUUAUGAUCAAAUUGCAACUCUCACAACAGAAGCAAAAUGUAUUCCUUACACACGUAAAAUUUAACAAAUAUCUUAAGAAGGCUAAGGAAAGCAGAUGGCGUCUAUAACCCUUUUAAACCGAGUGUGUGAGAGAACCAUAGCAAAUGCCUUAAGAAGGCCAGGGAAAAGCACAUACACUCGUACCAAGGCCGUCUUUCGUUUUGGACUCCAGCACAAUUCUACACCAGUACGAGCGACCACGCUUGUACCAGAGGCCGCCUUUUUCUUUGGACUUCGAAGAACAUCGGUUCAGUAUGAGCUUCGGUACGAACCUCCACGCUCGUACCGCACACUGUCUUUUCUCCUGGACUCGGCGAUCUGCUGCGGAGGUAUUGUACGACCCCAGGUAAGAGCGCCUCGCUCAUACCCGAGGCCGUCUUUUUUUAUAACCUUUGGUCAUUUCGUGUUAGUAGCUUUUGAAAAAAUGCUCGCAUUUAGGCAGUGGCAUGACCACGUGCUCAUACAAAGCCAUGUCUUUUUCUCGGAUUCUUCUAUGAUCAUCCGAUUUAGUUCCGAUUUGUUUUGAUCUCCUCCUAACGUCCUCCUCAAGCCUAAUAUCCGGAAUUCUAGGGUUUGUAGCCCUUUAUAAGAGCAAGGGAGUCACACCCUUGACUCAUUAUCCAUCUAAUCGUCACCUCUUUAUUCAUCUUGUCCAGCAGACAUUACUUUACAAGAUCAAGAAGGCAUCAGUUUCCAUAGCUUCCAAUGAUGCUCAAGGCACAUCCAUCAGCGAUAAGGGAUCUUCCUCGAGCUCUUCAUCAAGCAAGAUCAUACCGCUCAAAGAUUGGGAGGACAUGACCCAGAGGAGCUGGGAAGAACUCCGAAGGAUGGGUGCCCAAGAGGAGAAGCCAGAGGAGGUGAAGCUCGAGGAAGAAGAGGAAAGAAUAGAAGAGAAGAAAGACAUGCACCCUUCGAACACCUACAAGUACAACAAACAAGGAUCUCUUCCUAAAUCUCUGCAGGGCUCGCACCUCGCGAACGCAAGAAAGAAAUAUCGACCCCUGAUGUGAUUAAGGAAAAGAUUGUUGAAGUUGAGAAGGUUUCUAAAUCGUGUGUCAAUACAAUCGGAGAAGGGAUAGAUGCCUAUUGGAUUAUGAGAAAAGAACUUGAAAACAAGGUUGAUGGUAUGUACAAAUGCCCUUGUUGAUGUCACCACUAAGCAUUCUGCAGAGAAUAACUUCCUUUUGGAGGUGGUCUCCGAACAACAAAAACAAAUAUUAGGGAUGACAUCCUGCUUCCAUUGUAUUGCUCUUGCCUGCAGCAUGAAGAAGCCUGAGAAGGGAAAGAAUGAGGAUGCGCCCAUUGAACCAGAUCAAAAUUAGGUAUUAGGGUCCCGCCAACUUGAUUGUAAGCUUAGGGAGAUUUGAGAAUACCUUGUAUCUUUACUUUUUUCAGCUUGUUUAUCUUUUUCGUAAAGACGAGACUACUCGUCUUAGUUCGUGGAAUAAAAGUUGAGUUAGCAAGUUCCUUAGGAGCAUGGGAGGAAUCUUUUCCAAUGACUAGUGGAUAUUUACGAUGUGAAAUUUUAUUGUAUCCUGAAAACAACUAUAUUAGAUGCAAAAUCAAACUUGAGUACUACUACAUUUCUACUAAUAGAUAAUCACAAGCCUUUCACAUCUUAAGUGACGAUUGGUUAGUGAAAGUUGGCAACUGUAUGGAAUAGAUGAUCUUGGUUUCAGUUGUCUUAAUAAAAGUGUCGGGCAAAAAUAAAGAAUAAUUUCUUGAGACAUGUUUCCAAAUAAAAACAAAUUAUCAAGAAGCUAGAAAGCUUGAACUCUCAACUGCUAAAAUAUGAUUGUUGAAAUUUGAGAGACCGGUUUUUCAUUGAUCUUGCUAAGCAUGCUUAGUUUGCAUGUCAUAAGUUAAAUAAUAAAUGAUUGUGACAUGGGAAAAUAAGCCUCCUACCUAGGAGAAGGUGACAAAUAAAAGCACAUGAAUUAGAAGAAAACAAGUGUACAAACGCUUCUCGAAAGAAAAUUAUUGCCCCUCGCAACUUGCUCGACUGAAGCACAUACGACUUAUUGCAUAAAAGUUGUCAAACAUAUGCUAAUGAAUUGAUCACUAAAGGUGUGGAAGCCUUCAUAGUUAUCUUGGUGGUAAAUUGUAACGCCCAUGAUGCGGCUAUAUCUCCCACGUGUCGAAGCACGACUUAGAGGCAUAACCACAUUGUAAGCAAUGUCGCAAGUGAGGUAAUCUUCACAACAACCCAUGUAAUGAAUAAGGAAAAGAGGUACAUAGUUGGCUUACACUCGCCACGUCACACAAUAGCAUAAAUAUCAUUACAUUCAUCCAGAUACACUCAAGGUCCGACUACGAAACCAAAGUAAAGAACAACCCCAAAUGCGACAAAGUCCCCGAUCACCCCAACUGGGCACCACCUACUGAUCGUCUGGAAAAGAAACGUAGUAUCGUCCUGAGUCCUCAUCGAAUUCCCACUUGAGCUCAGUCGAAUCUCCUGGAAUGGUAUCAUCGGUCCCUGCAUCUGGUUUUGGAAGUAAUCUGUGAGUCACGGGGACUCAGCAAUCUCACACCCUCGCAAUCAAGACUAUUUAAGCUUAUAGGUGGGGCAAAAGGUAUGAGGUGGAGCUGCAACAAGCACUAGCAUAUAUGGUGGCUAACAUACGCAAAUGAGAGUGAGAAGAUAAAGGCAAAGCACGAUCGAGAAUCUAUGAUCAAGAAGUGAUCCUGAAACUACUUACGUUCAGGCAUAACUCCAACACCAUGUUCACUUUUCGGACCCCGCCGAGAAGAGACCAUCACGGCUACACACUCUGUUGAUUCAUUUUAAUUAAGUUAAGUUUCAGGUUUUCUACAACCGGGCAUUAACAAAUUCCCAUCUGCCCAUAACCGCGGGCACGGUUUUCGAAAAGUUCAAAACCCUGCAGGGGAGUCCCAACUUAGCCCAUCACAAGCUCUCAUGGUCAACGAAGGAUAUUCCUUCUCCCAAGACAAUCCGAUCAGACUCGGAAUCCCGGUUACAAGACAUCUUGACAAUGAUAAAACAAGUCCAGCAAAGCUGCCCGAAUGUGCCGACAAAUCCCGAUAGGAGCUGCACAUAUAUCGUUCUCAGGGCACACUCAGAUAGGUCAAGCUACGAGUAAAACCAACCCUCGAGUUGCCCCGAGGUGGCCCCGCAGGCUGCCCAUUUCAGACCAACACUCAGAGGAGCACUGGCCCCGGGAGGGGGGGGGGUUAAAAUAAAGAUGACCCUUGAGUCUGAACCCAAGGGAAAGAAAAUGCUAGGUGGCAAAUGGUAAAGCCAAGGUUGGGCCUUGCUGGAGGAGUUUUAUUCAAGGCGAACUGUCAAGGGGUUCCCAUUAUAAUCCAACCAUGUAAGGAACGCAAAAUCAAGGAACAUAACACCGGUAUGACGGAAACUAGGGCGGCAAGAGUGGAACAAAACACCAGGCAUAAGGCCGAGCCUUCCACCCUUUACCAAGUAUGUAGAUGCAUUAAAGUAAACAAGAUAUAUUGUGAUAUCCCAACAAAUCCAUGUUCCAACAUGGAACAAACUCCAAUCUUCACCUGCAACUAACAACACUAUAAGAGGGGCUGAGCAAAGCGGUAACAUAGCCAAACAACGGUUUGCGAGGAAACGUGGGUUAGAGGCUUGGCUUAGCAAUAUGGGAGGCAUGAUAUAGCAAGUGGUAGGUAUCGCAGCAUAGGCAUAGCAAAAGAGAGAGCAUCUAGCAAGCAAAGAUAGAAGUGCUUCGAGGGUAUGGUCAUCUUGCCUGCAAAGUUCUCCGAGAAGACGAAAGCUUGAACCUCGUAAACGUACUCAACGGGUCCUCGAACAUGAACUCGUCUCCCGGCUCUACCCAAGCAAGAACACAAGCAAAGGGAGACACAAUCAACCCCGGGCAAUGCACAAGCAACAUGAUGCAAGACAUGACAUGAUAUGCGGGAUGAGAUAUGCAAUGCAUAUGCAUGUUUCAGAAAGGAAAGAUUGAACCUGGCCUAAACUUGGAAAACCAAGAGUGCCACUGGAAAGAGGAGUUUAUUUCGGUCGAAAUCGAUAUAAAGAUCACCAGAAUCGGAUGCACGGUUUGGAAAUGACAAGCAAAACAAUUAUGGCACCGAACUGCGAUUAACAACACGAGGCCAUCUAAAUGCAUCAAGAACAACAAGCUACUGCACUCUAACAUAGCAACAAAACACAUGGCAGGGAUCCACUCAAGAUGCUUGACAAAAGAUGAACACUGAGCUAUGGCUAAUUCACUCAAUAUUAGGUUCAAACAAGCAUGGCAAAAGUGCAAAAGAUACCAGGUUACAGACUUAGUGAAAAUAACAAGUCAGGAAUUUAACAUCAGGAAGCAAUGUUUAGAGCAAGGUAACAAAAUGCUACAGGAACAUAUCAUGGCAAAUCAAGACAUGGCAUGAAGCUACUCAAAGCAUACAACAAAAGUCCCUUACUGACCAUAAGCCAAAAGGGAUCAGAAAAUACAAUGGCAACCAUGUGAACAUAGCAAUUAUCGUUAACAUAUUCCGACUUAGUAGAAAACUGGAACAUGGAAAAAUAGAUAUUAAGUAGGCAUGUUUGCGAGCUCGAUGCACUCACCAAAAGGCAUUGCAUGAUAAACUAAGCAUACACCCAACAAGUAGACAUGGCAUAGAAGCUAAACAUGGCAAGAACAACAACAUAGCAUGCACAGAUCAACUACAACAAGCUCGGCAAAAAUGCUUAACAUGUAAACAUUCUGCCAGGAACAUUUUAUAGCAAAAGUAGAACUCGAUUGACUCAAGCUAGGGUGCUCCAUAAAUGCAAACAAAGACGUGGAUGAAAAGAGCACACGAAUAUCUACAAAACAUCCUUACUGAUCAUGCUCAAAAGAGGCAUGGAUCGCUCGGUAACAACAUGAAUACAUGGCAUAAAAAUAAUGACAGGGCAAAGACUUAGAAUAUUUCUAAGUCCCUGAAAUAAGCAUCAUUACGAGAGCUACUUUGCAUGCUUGUGCUAGUCACCACAUAGAUCACAAAAAUACAUGGCAUACACCCCUGUAAAGAUGGCAUGGCAUACUUCAAAACUCAAGUAGGGCUGAAGUUCAUAGGAGGCACACAACAAUCAUGGCAAAAAUGACAAAUGAGCAAUUGCUGAUAAGAAACUGAAACUAACAGAAACUAGCACUCUUCCAACGGCAUUUAGGACAUCAAGAUGAGCUCAAAUGAACAUGAUGCAAUGAUAUGAAAUGAAGUACUCGUCGAGACGAACAAUUUGGUAUGCUACACGCACAAAAUGGUGCCAUGGUUGCAGAGAUAUAGCAUGUCAAAGUGGGCAUAAAACUGCAAGAAUUAAGGGACUUACAUAAAUUUUGAGGGGGGAAAAGUCAACCUCUCAGAUCCAGAUCGGGGCGGCGUGCGAACCGAGGUUCGCCGGCUGGGCUCGUCGGAGAGGAGGACGGGGAGGACGCCGACGACGAGGGGGGAGACCGGAGAGGACGGGGAGGAACUCCGAUGGCCGGAUCUGGAGCAGCCGAGGCGUGGGGAGGCCAUGGCGGCGGGCGGCGCGGUGGGGAGCGGCGCUAGGGCGNNNNNNNNNNNNNNNNNNNNNNNNNNNNNNNNNNNNNNNNNNNNNNNNNNNNNNNNNNNNNNNNNNNNNNNNNNNNNNNNNNNNNNNNNNNNNNNNNNNNNNNNNNNNNNNNNNNNNNNNNNNNNNNNNNNNNNNNNNNNNNNNNNNNNNNNNNNNNNNNNNNNNNNNNNNNNNNNNNNNNNNNNNNNNNNNNNNNNNNNNNNNNNNNNNNNNNNNNNNNNNNNNNNNNNNNNNNNNNNNNNNNNNNNNNNNNNNNNNNNNNNNNNNNNNNNNNNNNNNNNNNNNNNNNNNNNNNNNNNNNNNNNNNNNNNNNNNNNNNNNNNNNNNNNNNNNNNNNNNNNNNNNNNNNNNNNNNNNNNNNNNNNNNNNNNNNNNNNNNNNNNNNNNNNNNNNNNNNNNNNNNNNNNNNNNNNACGAGGGCGGCGGCACGAUGACAUGGCAUCUCCUAUUUCGCCGGAGUGAUGUGGAGGCUGGACGAAUCCGGCGGGCGCGGACAUGUCCGGCGUCGUGGAGGAGCGGGGCUAGGGUUUCAUCUGCGCGAAAAAUCCGGGAGGCAUACAUAUAUAUAGGUAGAGGGAGCUAGGAGACUCCAAAUGAGGUGCGGUUUUCAGCCACGCGAUCGUGAUCGAACGACCGAGAUGAUGGAGGGGGGUUUAGGUGGGUUUUGGGCCACCUUGGAAGGGUGUUGGGCUGCAACACACACGAGGCCUUUACAGUUCCACGGUUAACCGUUGGAGUAUCAAACGAAGUCCAAAUGGCACGAAACUUGACAGGUGGUGUACCGGUAGUAAACCAAGGCCGCUUGGCAAGUCUCGGUCCAAUCCGAGGACGUUUAACACCCGCACAUGAAAAGAGGUUAAAAGGGACACCGAGUGACAUAGGAGCGCCGGAUUGCAAAACGGACAACAGGGAAAAUGCUCGGAUGCAUGAGACGAACAUGUAUGCAAAUGAAAUGCACAGGAUGACAUGAUAAGAAAUGCAUGACACGCAAGCAAAUGACAAGGAAACAACAACGAAUAACUGGAAGACACCUGGCACCUCGGUCUCGGGGCGUUACAUAAAUUUGUGCUAGCAUUCAUCUUGAUCAUGUAUAUGAUGUGGAUAUUCACUUGACGCAAUAGACUCUUCCAUUUACAUUUAUCCCCACCUCAUGAACCUAAUGAUUAUAUUCUUGAAGCUGUAGUAUUUUCUCGAGGACGAGAAAAACUCUAAGUUUGGGUGAGUUGAUGAGUCCAAAAUUACAUGAACUUUAUCUUUGGGGCAUCUUUAGUUUUCGUGUCUUGUCGUAGGAUUGUCAGAAUUUUUUUGUGUUCCACCCUUUUGUUUGAAAUCACCAGGAUCAUAACUGAGGAGGAGAUCUAGAGCAUUAAAGAGGAGACCAAAAGUAUAUGAGUGAAAAUCAUGUUUAUUUGUGUGAUGGGAACCUUCCAUAAAGAUCAGCGAUUAAAUGAAGCAAUUUCCAGUGGCAACAGAGCCUCCAAGAGAGAAGAUGACGCCUAGUACGAGUGCACCCACUCAUACCAGCACUCGUACUAGGUGUGGCGUCGCCUCCCUCUUGUUGGCUAUUUCACCCAGGUAGUUUCGGACAGCAAAUCAAAGUUACAGAGACACGGGAAAUUUCGCUAGAACCAAGAACCCUAGCCUCCAGAAGGGAUCUGGAAGGGGAAUCGAUAGCAGGGCUCUGCCACGCCGUCAUCCUAACCAAGGAGACUUUGGCAUCAAUGUUCAUCAUGACCAUCCCCUAUUCAUCUCUUUGUAAUACCAAACUCUAGGUGGAUACCUACGUUCAUUAGUUUGAUUGUUCAUCCAUGAUUUCCAUGAUUAUCCUUCUAAUGCUUGUCUCAAUGUCCGAGGAAAAUCCCUAGUUCUCGGGGAUAUGGAGGAACACUAGUAUGUCUAGGUGUUGACGCUGAUAGGAUAUAGAAUCAUCCUUUGCAUGUUUAAGUUAAUGUUCUCCAUGAAUGUUGUGUAAGGUCGGCCCAACAAUUUUCCUUUAUGGCCACAAAGAACAUUACGAUUGUUGCAAUUGUGAGAUGCAGAUGUAAAGAGGUGACUCUAUCCUCCCAUCCUUCCCAGAGCAAUUGAUAGGGGAAUAGCGGAGAACCGACCAUUGACUUUGUGCAUGGGGUAACCCUUAAUCAUCAUUGUCGUAGCCUGCUAUGGGAAGGAAUAAUGGUGGCGUGUGUGAUAUGGAUCUAUGUAAGUAACAUGUAUGCUUUACCAGGCUCUGACCACUUAUAAAAGGAUGCAAGGUGGCUUAGUUAUCCGAACCUAGAACUAUGUUUACACAUAUGUUACAUUAGACACAUACUAGUGGGGACAAAACUCCAUGAGAAUGCAUUAUCCCUAAUAAUACCAUCGCUCUCAUUUAUUCUUUCUUGAUUUUUCAUUUUAUUUCGCACCCAAUUUUCAGUCGCCAAAUAUUUAAAACUUCUUCCUCCGCUUUGCUUUGGACCUCAACUAACUUGUAGGCCCAGCUCCAUAAACCUCAAGAAGAGGCAAAUACCAUUUCCUAUGCUCCAUGUGGUAUCAAUACUCUUACUUUGAAAAGCAACAAAUAAACUCUGUGCACUUUCAUAUCAUCAAGCACCACACUACCGGUAAAUGCACCAUGAUGCACAAAUAGUCACCGACGAGUGGGGUAACGUGACCGCUAACCACUCACCCACUAAUGUCGCACCCGCUCCCUUGGAUUUCUGAGACGGUCAUUUGGAUGGCCACCACUAGACAUCAUCACCAGCUAUAAAAACCCAACAGCGUGGAGCCCUGUCACCUAAGCCCAAUCCAUCGUCUCCCCCUUCCUCACCAUCUCCUCCCCUCUCUACAACAAUGUCAUCGCGAUGGGAGGAUGCAACCUAUUGACAGAACUUCAUGUCCUAGAUGCGGACCAUCGACAGUGUGAACUCCUCCCCCCCCUAAGUGCACUAGCCGCGGCAGCCGUUACUUCCUCCUCCCAUGGAGGCUCCCAUGAGGACGGAUGCACAUGAUACGCCGUCUUCCAUUACGACGAGCGGCAUCGCUGGUGAAGGAAAUAUGCCCUAGAUGCAAUAAUAAAGUUGUUAUUUAUAUUUCCUUAUAUCAUGAUAAAUGUUUAUUAUUCAUGCUAGAAUUGUAUUAACCGGAAACUUGAUACAUGUGUGAAUACAUAGACAAAACAAAGUGUCCCUAGUAUGCCUCCACUUGACUAGCUCGUUAAUCAAAGAUGGUUAAGUUUCCUGACCAUAGACAUGUGUUGUCAUUUGAUGAACGGGAUCACAUCAUUAGGAGAAUGAUAUGAUGGACAAGACCCACCCAUUAGCUUAGCAUAAUGAUCGUAAAGUUUUAUUGCUAUUGCUUUCUUCAUGACUUAUACAUAUUCCUUUGACUAUGAGAUUGUGCAACUCCCAAAUACCCGAGGAACACCUUGUGCUAUCAAAUGUCACAACGUAACUGGGUGAUUAUAAAGAUGCUCUACAUGUGUCUCCGAAGGUGUUUGUUGGGUUGGCAUAGAUCGAGAUUAGGAUUUGUCACUCCGAGUAUCAGAGAGGUAUCUCUGGGCACUCUCAGUAAUACACAUCAGGAUAAGCCUUGCAAGCAAUGUGACUAAUGAGUUGGUUGCGGGAUAAUGUAUUACGGAACGAGUAAAGAGACUUGCCGGUAAUGAGAUUGAACUAGGUAUGGAGAUAUCGACGACCGAAUCUCGGGCAAGUAACACACCGAUGACAAAGGGAAUGACGUAUGUUGUCAUUGCGGUUUCACUGAUAAAGAUCUUCGUAGAAUAUGUAGGAACCAAUAUGAGCAUCCAGGUUCCGUUGUUGGUUAUUGAUCGGAGAUGUGUCUCGGUCAUGUCUACAUAGUUCUCGAACCCGUAGGGUCCGCACGCUUAAUGUUCGAUGACGAUUUGUAUUAUGAGUUAUGUGUUUUGGUGACCGAAGAUUGACCGGAGUCCAGGAUGAGAUCAAGGACAUGACUAGGAGUCUCGAAAUGGUCGAGAGGUAAAGAUUGAUAUAUUGGACGAUGGUAUUCGGACACCGGAAUGGCUCUAGAAUGUUUCAGGUAUUUUUCGGAGUACUGGGAGGUUACCGGAACCCCUCGGGAAAGUAAUGGGCCUAGAUGGGCCAUAGGGGAGAGAGAGGGGAGCCCGCAAGGGGUGGCGUGCCCCCCAUGGGCUGUUCGAAUUAUACAAGAGGAGGGGGCACGGCCCCCCUUUCCUUCCCCCUCUCCCUCUCCUUCCCUUCCCCCCUCUGAAAGAAAGGAAGGGGGCGACUAGGACUCCUAGUCGGUUUCCCCCCCUCAUGGCACGCCCCCUAUGGCCGGCCUCCUCCCUCUCCUCCUUUAUAUACGGGGGCGAGGGGCACCCCAAAGCACAUCAAUUAUUCUCUUAGCCGUGUGCGGUGCCCCCCUCCAUAGUUUACUCCUCCGGUCAUAUUGUCGUAGUGCUUAGGCGAAGCCCUGCGCGGAUCACAUCACCAUCACCACACCAUCAUGCUGACAAAACUCUCCCUCGACACUUUGUUGGAUCAAGAGUUCGAGGGACAUUAUCGAGCUAAAUGUGUGCUGAACUCGGAGGUGUCGUACGUUCGGUGCUGUAGCGACCCGACCUCAGAGGUCAAGCCUCUGUGUAUCUAUGCCAUCCCUGGAUCAGUAUGCUGGCACACACAGUACAUCAAUGUAUAUAUCAAAGGACAAUCACAUGUAUAAAUAACGUAAAACUGAUAUAUAUCUUAUAAGUCUCAGCGGAAACAAUCAACGGGUAUGGAAUCCCAUAAACGCCAUCGGCAAGUUGAGUGUAGACCGUAACCCUGUACCGUACUCUUACUAGUCGAAAGAAACAUAUCUGCAACAUGAGACGUUGCAUCCGCGUAGGUCAGUACAUUGAAUGUACCGGCAAGAUCACAACAUGAGAAAGCAGAUGAUAAUACUAUUCUAUAUGCAAUAUGGCUUUGUGGCUCUGUGUCUGAUGUUUUUGCAUAAAAGAUGGUUUUAUUUUCCCUACAACAAAGGAAUAUCAGGAGUCUGUACUACGGAGUUUUCUAUCAUGACAUGGUUCCGCCAACCGAUGUCUCAUACCCAAAUCAUCAUAAGUUGCCCACAAUUAAAUUAUCAGUCCGAUGUUGAGAGUUCCGAGAUAGAUCCAAGUCCAGAGGCUCAAUUUGUCCAUAACCGGGGACACGGCUAAUCGAUUAGGUUCUAACCCUCUGCAGAGGUUUGUACACUUUACCCGCAAGAUUCGAUCCCUCUUUUUUUCGUUCUCGCACUUCACAGUGUUUGAGAACAAGACGACCGAAACAUGGUCUUCCAAAGAGUUCCCCUGACCACUGUCCGGUGCUUAUCCAAUCCUACCGUAGUUCUACAUCUGCUAGCACGGUCCCAGCCAGAGUCACCACUAGGGUCAACCAAGCCAGAGCCCAUAGUGACUUGCGGUUGCACAGGUAAGCUUCCGGGCAUGAAUUAUUCUUCCGUCUCUUUGAGUUUGGGUGAAGCUUUCCGCAAGAUGUCAUGGCGCUUCUCCAUGCAUCUCGACCAUCCACUAGUUCCUCUAGGGUGCCCGUCAACCGUCCUUCACCUAGUAGUGUGUAUUGAAUUCUUGUCUCGAGUCUCAAAAUCUUGAGGCCUUGGAGUCCUGAAGAUGCAGUCCUUGCCGAUGCCAUCAUGAAGUUGUCGCCAUUGACGUAGAGUCCUCCUUCUUCACACCACUCUUGUGCACUCAUACCAAACCCAUCUACUAUAGCGUAGCAUUAAAACUAUAUAACGUCCCGGGCUUGGUAACAGGGAGAUGGGUUUCUACCUCAUGCAUUCUACUCAACUACAAGAUUCAAUAACACUACUGGAGGGAUUGUUGAAAGGGUGCUACUACAUGCAAAUAAAACAUAGGUAUGGAAAACAUGGUCAAAGUGAACUUGCCUAGUAUUACUUGAUGAAGAUAAUAACGCUCUCGGAAUCUUUGAUAAACUAUUCGUCACUCCAAGAAAAUCUAUAUAGUCAAACAUUAUACUCACAUAAGCAAUAAUCCUAGCAAAUAAUACUAGCAAUCAAAAUAACAAUCAAAAAGCCAUAAAUAAAACAAUAAUGAAGUCAAAGAAAACCAAAUAGAAUUCCAAAGAAAACUUCACGAAAACAAGGGAGAAACCAACUCACACAAUAAUAGUCAAUACUUUCUUAUUAAAACUAAAUUACUCUAAUAACUUUUCUACAACAUACAAAAUAUAAUUCUAAUAAAACAACAACAAAAUAAUUUACUAAAGCAUUUACUAGCAAAAAGAACUAGUAUGAAAACUAUUGUAACUGACUAGUUAACACCAGAACAACUAUAACAACUAGCAAAACACCAAGACAAUAGUAAACAAUACUAAAAUAAUUAUCAAACUAAUUUACUCCUAAAUAACAGAAUAAAUGACAACAUAUAAUGAAGUGGCAAAAAGAAUUACUUUUGAAACAUAAUGAAACUACUUUUAUCAACUAUCACUAUGAACUAAACAAAUAAUGCUAAAACAGUACAUAAACACUAAUAAUUAACUACAAAAAAUUAUCUACUACAGUCUAACAUAAACAUAUGACAACAUGUAAAAAUUUACAAAAAGAAUUAACUAAAAAUAAUUAAAAAACACUAAUUAUAUGACUAAAACAACUACAUAACCUAAACAGUACUGUUUUCGCAAUAAACCUAAUUAAAAUAAACAAAAAAAUAACUAUAAGCUAUUGGAUAGACAAAACAAUAACAAAACCAUAGCAAAAAGAAUCAAUCAAAAAACUUUGUAAAACUCAAAAUAUGACCAAAUUAGUGAUUUGAACAAAUUUCAUCAAAUCCAAACUUAAACUACUCAAAUUUGAAAACCAAUGGCACAAACAGAAACUUCAACAAAUUUGUGACACAGAGCAAAAAGAAUCACUCAAUUUGGCUCUAAAACCUAAAAGAUAUAAGCAAUGUAAAAAACAGAACCUAUUCUGUUUUUGAAACAGAAACGAAAAAAAAA